rnacentral:lncRNA from 1 species
CCAGCAUUUCCUAAAAUUUUCAUUUCAUCAAGACUGGUGUUCACAAUUUUUGAUAUUUUUACAAAAUAUCCCACAUCAAAUAAUAAUAUAGGAUUCCAAACUUUCAAAUCAUAUGCUACAACCAUAUUCUCAUCCCACCAACUCUUUUAACUUAACUUUCUUUGUGAAAAUGAAAAAUCACUUAUUCAGCGAUCUCAUUGCCCAACUCUUUUUCUGUUAACAAGAGAAACAAAGUUUAUAAUACAAGCAAGAAUCAAGUCUAUAGUUUUACCUAAUGGAUUAAGGAGUCACCAUUUGAAAAUCAAGUUUUUAUUUGGUUCAUGGUUAGAUGCUAGAUCCCAAAAUGUUAAUACGCAAGAAGCCCUCAGAUCUCAUACACGGUAAGGCUCAUGGUUUUCAUUAAAGGCCAGUCCACACCUUCAAAAUAAUAAUAAUAAUAAUAAUAAUUGUCAUAACACAGAGGCUGAUGAAGAAGGAGGAGAAGGGGGAGGCUAUUAAUGAAAACCAUAUAACCACACAUGAGUUUUCCAUCAUUGGGCAUUUGCUCACCACAAUGAAAAAGAUAACCACAAUUUCGGAUAUCCACCUGUGAUUCACUAGUGAUAUAAUGAGUUCAUCAAUCUAUACCAAUUGACCUUUUUAAAUAAACCCAUUCGAUGAUUCGAUUUCUUGAAAGGCAACAAGCUGAGGCAAAAAGCUUCUUGCUUAGCAGAUUGUCUGAAGUUCCAACUUGCAUAUAAACUCAUGCUCUUCAAAAAAGCAAACAUAGAUCUUUCUCAAAAGGCAAUAUUAAAAAACAAAGAAGUAAAAAUUCAGUGGGAGUGGUAAUGGCAUAUGAAAAUUUAAAACCAUAACUUUCAUCACAUGCUAAAACUGGGUUGAUCUAAAAGGAAAUGUAAGAGAAGUGAAGGACAAAAAAAAGAAAGAACCAGACAAUAACAUCUAUUGAUAGCCCUCAGAUCUCAUAGCUAUUAUUAGUCAUCGUCAGUUAUAACAAACUGAUUCUUAUUAAGAGCCUCCACAUCUUCAACCACAGUAGAAAAGAGAGAUAGAGAGAGAGAGAGAGAGAGAAAGAGAGAGGUGGUGGUGGUGAGGCUGAUGGUGAGGAUGAGAGUAAAGGCUCCUAAUAAAAAUCAAUUUAAACCCUCCACAAAAUAAGUUUUCCAUCAUCGGGCAGAUGUUCAUAUUGAUAUUAUUGUCGACUGAAAAAUCAGGAUACACCUAUAAUAAGAGAGGACUGCAUGCAAGAAAACAGUUCAUUUAUAAAAAAUAAAAAUAAAAAAACAGAAAGAAAGAUAAAAGAUGAAAUAAGAAAACCAAUUCAUAAACAAACAAAAUGUGUAAUUAUACUAAAACAAUUUGAGCUUAAAGCAGAAGUACAACAGGAAAAAUACAACAGCAGCUUAAACCUAUAAUCAGUUUGGGUGGGUCAGAUGUGUUCAGCUAAAUAAUGUUUCAAUGAUUAAAUGAAAUAGGACCAUAUGAAAAAUUAUGCAGUAUCUGCCCACCAAUAACCAAAAGAAAUAAACAAGGGCAAAUCCCAAAUAAAUAAAUUUUCAAAUCUCAAACCAUCAAUCUAAAUUAAGCUAUAGAAGUAAUAAUGCCAAGAAGAACAUCAACAGAAUACUAGAAAAAUCCAAGGAAUAAAUAAUGGAUAGGAUUAAAUGGAUGCAAUAUCCUCAAGAAAUGGACACCUGUAAAUACCACAAAAGCAAAUAGCUUACAAUUGGUCUAUAUCUUGUCAUAGCUGAGCACAUCUAUAAGAUAUACACACCACCAAAAUAACUUUAUUCUACUACAUAAUGUUGUUUAAUCAUAACAUCAACUUAUUCAAAUAUGCAAAAGGCAGUUAGUACAGUUCACCUGCUGAUCUUCAAGACUUAAACCAACCAGCACUGUACCCAUAUGAGAUAAGAAACACUCCAUUCACAUAAGCUUCCAGCACUAGUACCAUAGAAAAAUAAUACACAGUGCUAACUUCAACAUCACCCCCAUAGGCAUCGAAAUCUCAGAAAAUAACAAGACAAAACCAUUGGAUAUAACAAUAGUCUCCAAAACAAGUCUCAACUGGGCGAGUAUCAGUGAGAACUUCAUUCCCAAGAUUAAGAGCCAUUCAAAAUACUAGAAAAGCUCAAACUUCAUAUGAGACAAAAUGGGUUUUUUUUUUUUUUUUGCAAAUCAAGUUUCCAUUCGAAAAACAUAGAUAUGAAGAGUACAUUUACAUGGUUCUCAUUAACCUAAAAAGAUUGUCAACAGUUCAAUGUCUUAGAUGCCAUAUUACAAUAUAUAAACAAGUAAAGCCCUCAGAUCUCAUAGCUACCAAUAUUCAUAGAAGGUAAAGCUUGUAAUUUUCAUUAGAAGCCAAUCCACAACUUGAUAAUAAUAAGAAUGCUAACAGCAGUAGUAAGAAGAAGAAGAAGAAGAAGAAGAAGAAGAAGAUGAUGAUGAUGAUGAUGAGGGAGGCUCCUAGUGAAAACCACAGCAACCACACCAAAUAUGAGAAUUCCAUCAUAGGGCAGAUGGCCAAGAUUCAAAAGCUUUGUCAUCCAUGGUUUAUAGAAUGAAAUAGUCCAGAUAAUAAGAACAUAAAAGAGAGCAUAAUCACAAAGGAAGGAAUGGUAAGAAGAGGUCAGAAGAGCCAAAGAAGAAACGAGCAUAAAGACUCCCGCAGAAACCAUAAACAAAGCUGCUUCGGAAAAACACAUUCAGAAUUACAAGGAAGCAGAUUUCACAAUCAAUAGUAAUUGUAACAGAAGUUCUCAUUUGUUUAAAAGACAAUAAUAACACACGUUGUGCAUUAUGGGAUCAAAGAAAAGAUCAAGAAGCAACCCAUGUUAAGGACUUGCCUGACUUUUAGGGGAAAAAAAAAGGUGAUCAUAGGUACAACAAAGCACUUAAAACAGUGUAGACAAACUUGAUAACGCAACUUGGCCCCUCAAAUUUGUUGAAAAAUGGUGAGACUGAGGUUCCGACUAGUGCGUUUUUUAAUGAACCACACUGACCUCUCAAAAGGCUAUCUUAAUUAUAUAAUUCUGUGAAUAAAAAGGUCAAAACAUGCACAUAGUUAAAUUGAUCUCAAAUAAUAGCAGGAUAACAAAAUAAAGCACCCAUCACGUGUGUGACCCAUAGGAUGAAAAUCCGUUGCACCAAGUAAUUUCACUAGUCUUAACUCAGGUCGUAAGGGUAUAUUUCCAAUCAUUCAAAAAGUCAGCAACUUAAUUCAUGUAAUUGAAACUCCACCAGUAACCUAAUGACACCAAAAUAACAAUGUGAUAGUUGUCUGAUAUUUAAACCAAUCGAAAUCCAUUCUGAGGCAGUAGCAAUGAUAGAAGAAAACAUUUCAAUAGUUAUACCUAAACCCGAUUCAAAAACCAAAACACUUGAUCAAAUGAAACAAAAAAGAAAGGACGCAAUGGAUAGAAAAUCGCAAAAAAAAAAAAAAAACAUAGACAAAAAUAUACUAAAAAAGCCCUCAGAUCUCAUAGCUAUCAUAAGUCAUUGUUAGUAAAACAAACCGGUUUUUAUUAAGAGCCUUUCCACAUCUUUAUCCAUACUAAAGAGAAUGUGAAAGAUUGAGGGAGGAAGAGGAGAGAUAGAGAGAGAGAGAGAGAGAGAGAGAAAGCGAGAGAGAGAGAGAGAGAAGACAGAUUAAGAAGAAUAUGGCGAGGAUGAUAGUCAAGGCUCCUAACAAAAACGACUGCAACCCCCUCCAUAGAAUGAGUUUUCCAUCAUUGGGCAGAUGAAUUGAAAUAAUAACUAAUAAUCAGAACACCAGCCAUGAAUGCUUGUAAGAAACAAUUAUAAGUUUAAAAGAUUAAUUAAAAAAUUAAAAUAUAUAUAUAUCAUAAAAGAAAACAUAAUGAUCAAAACAAAUUGAAGACCACAAUAUUCUCCCUAUCUGAAGAUAAAUGAAACAAGACAUCAAGAUUUGUUUUCUUGGUUAAUAUUCAAAUAUGUUGACAAAACCAACAAAAACUCCAUACCAAAAAAGUAAUUGCAACAUUUAAAGGCAAAUGAUAUGAGAAGGGUGGUCAGAUACAGCUUUCUAGGCUAGCAUUUCCAUCAAUAUUACUCAGAGCCCAGUGCAUAUCAUCAUUCGUUCUAAAAAAUCAACAAAAGAAAGGAUAAAAAUGUCCAUUGAAUAAAACUCUAUUAUUCAAGAAAAAUCUUGCAACUGCAAGAUCCAUAAAAUCGACACCGCAUUUGAUGAAAAUCCUCAGAUCUCAUGCCUUUGAACAAACAAUCUAGGGUUUUGUACUCAAUCGCAUUCAUCAAAACCCUUUUCUAUAUAACACAGUAAUUCAUAAUAAAAACUAACAAACAACGUAGCCAUCCGACAGCUCCGCAGCCACCGUCGCAGGAGUCGUCAGCCCGGAGUGCGAGCAGAGGUAGAUGGGAUCAUGGGAAGAGGUAUAGAAUGACGUACGUAGGGUUUUAUCGCCCAUUUAUAGGCAGAGUUGAAUUCCUAAAAGAACCCUGGAUUUAGUCGUAAAUAUCUAGGUUCACCCGAUCUGGGCUUUUCUUUGGGUUUGGGCUUAUUUGAUAUAUCGAAAGUGAUGGGCCAGGCUAAGCUUUCGUGGGUUGUAUUAUGUUUAAAGGAUUGCAUGGGUUUGAGGUUGAUGGUUAACAAGCCCAAACUAAAGCCCAUGAAACAAAACCAUUUUUAUUUAAAAAAAGAAAACCUUAAUCCUUUUUUUUCCUUUUUUUUUCAGCUUUUUUAUAUGAUAAAUGACGAUUUUGUCUCCAUUACAUAUUUAAUCAUGUUAUAUUUUUAGGAUUUUUUUUUUUUAGUGAAUGCAACCACAAUCAAAAGAAUUUUUGAGAGUUUUAUCAUUGUACUACACAUUUUUCAUUUUAUUAAUGGAUUGUUUAGUGUUGGUGUACUCCGUAGACAUAGAGAUUACAUUGAUCAUCGAAUCACAUCAAAAUCUCGUAUUUUUCUUAAUUUUUGGUUGUGUGUGUGCAAUAAUUAAGGGGUAAAAGAACUUUCAUUAGCUUUUCCUUGCUAUUUUUGGGUAUAGAUUUAUUUUCAUUUCUAUCAAGAUUAAUUUCAUCCUUACAAUUAAAUAAUUGUAUUCAUUUUUAAAUAUCAAGCUAUUAAAAAAUCAAAGGUUUAUGAACAAAUUCCCUUUUCAAACUUCAUUUCAGUAGGGUAGUGAUGUGCUGAUGAGAAUGCGCAACCCACUAAUGAAUCCAUCUUAAGAUCCACAGUGGCAGUGUGUUAUCUCCUAAAAAGCCACUUUAGUGGCCACUGCCCACCCUACCAGUCCAUUUGCAAUCCAUUAUUUUACAAAACACUAUUGAUUUUCCUAGCAUCACUCCUCCUAGUGUAGUGCGCCACCAACCAUUUCCAUCUCUUCUUGCUCUGCAUUUCAUAAUAUUUGCAUCCAUUAGGCUGAUAACAGAGGCAACUUGUUGGGUGCAAAAGGUGGUGGUCCCAUGGCCCAUAUGAACAAAGGGUGAGUUCAUGGUUACUUGGGUGGAUUCCAUGGAGACCAGGUGGAUCCAUAAUCCCACAUCAGGUCACACUAGUUUAAUGUGAUCUCCCAUGUCCCACUGCUGAUUCUUGUCACACAUGCACACUACCAAGAAAAGGAUAAUGAAAACUUUGUUCAGGGAAUCCCAUUGAGUAUCUUGUUUUGUUUUAAGUUGUUUGAUUUGGUGAUGGUUUUGCAUAAAUGUCAAGUUCUGUUUUUAGGUAAGCUCAGUAUUUAGAGGCUGUGAUCACCCUCAUCAGUCCUCUCUCACCAUGGCCAUUGUUGGGCUGAGCCACCACCUAUGCUACAGAGAGGAUGGGCGUCUGUAUGAGCCACCAUGAGAAGCCAAGAAAGAAAUCUUCUGAGGUGCACUCAGGGCACUUCAAUUAGGCUGCCAAGCUGUGCUCACUACUCGAAAGUCUGUCAUUGAGGUUGAGCCCCAUGGCUCAGUCAGCUGCCUGCCGGGCACUACCAUGCCUUGUGAGAAAACCAAGCCAGAUGUGCUCAUAAGGAUCGCGAUCGGCCUGGUUUCUCAGGUCUGUUUCAAGUUAUGUAGCAUUCUGGUCCAAACCAUCUAUGCAGCUGAAGUUUGUAUAUAUGGCUUUUCAAGUUAUGAAAGUAUGGUGUUUGAGGGGUCCUUUUGUGUCAAGAAUUUGUUGUUACAUGUAGGUAGGUGGUGAGAACGAUUGUCCACCACAAGACGCUGUGGAUACAAAAACAGGGACCCUAUUCUUGUGUGUGUGGCAUGGCUGCCUACUUUUGUGCUAUCUAUAAAUAUAAAUCAUCUGGCCCUGGUAUUUAUCAACCAACUCACUUUCAUAGACCAUAGGGAUCAGCUACAACAAUUGGCAGUCAAAUUUCUAACAAGGAAAUGCUUAAAUGCUAGCCGGGAAAUGCCUAAAUUCCAGACUCAGCCAUAUAUAUGGCUGCCCUCUUUCCUAGUACUCUAACUUAAAUAUACUCAUUUGAUAAACCACCUUAAUGGAGAAGGUAAAGAUUUCAGGUCCUCUUACCCAAAAUUGGGUAGGCCUCCAAACCCGUAGUGUAGUUUAUCUUUCUCUACGCUUUCCCUCUUUAUGAGAUGUUUUCAAAGUUCGUACAUCAUGCCAUCGUCCAUAUAUCACCCGCAGGUUCAACCUUUUCCAAAGUUUAUUUCAGAUUGAUCUAACACGGACGUCACAAAGGCAAGAUGAUAAAUAUUUGAGGCAAAGGUUGAAAAGGAUGGAAGGAGAAAACCAAGAGCUGUGUAAAGAGCCAAAUGACCUCUGCCUCGCACGUUGUAUUGGGCCCUAAUGUAUUUGUAUCAUGAUGAAAGAAUAAGUGCUAGAGGCCCUAUCGCAGGCGGGCUUGUCGACCAAAAUCAGAAUAAGCACAAAAGCAGGUUAACCUUCACACCGUUUGGCAUCCACUCUACGGCACCCCGGUACUAAGUAUUUUUCACCUAUGACAAAUAAUUGACCAGUAGAUACAUUCCUCGGGACAAUAAUAGAACUCAUAAGUCAUAAUCAACAACAGGCAUAAAUAAUUGCUUCGCCAUCAGGAUGAGAAUAUGAAUCAAAACAAACAUUCGAGCCAGUAAACCAUGUUAUAUGAAAGGCAGACCAUGCUGGGGCAGGUUCUAAAUGUGGGGCUUGAGCAGAACUUGGAGACAUUGUCUAGCUGCACACUGGGCCAACCGUCUCUCUAUACUUCCACUUGUAGAUUUGAACCCUGUUAAACAAUAAGCCUCUUUGUCUUUCAUGGCAAUGGGCACAGAUUCAAGACAAACAAUUAGCCUAUCAGCUUCCAAACAUAAGAAGCCGGAUAUGUCAUCAUCAUCAUCAUAUCAAUCUUUUCUUAUGCUACCAGACUGAAUGUUUUGGAAGUCUAAACAGAUUCUUUAUAGGCAUAUUUUAAAAAAGGGAAAUUGAAGUUCAACAUCUGAAGGCAUUCACAAUGGCCAAAGCAAGCUAGCCCAAGAAAAAAGGAAAAGAUCCCUUUCCCCCUCCAAUGCGCACAGACAAUGUUCUGCACUCUUCAGCCUACAAUGAGAUAUAGAUGCAUUCAAGAAACCCCAUCCUAUGGAACUCUAGAAAAGAAAAUUCAUUACCAGCUAAGUGUUCUAUUCCUUACCAUGAUCUCCUUUUUUUUUUUUUUUCUUUUUCUGUUUUACUUCUAUUCACAUGCCAACUUAGUGUCGAAGCUGCUCAAGCAGAUAGCGAAAGCCUGAAAAGCAGACAGAGGAUAUCGAUAAUCCAUGGUAAACAUAUCCUUGCCAACUUUGCCAAACUGCAGAAUAAUCUUGUCAUGAUCAGAGGCUGGAGGCUGUGAUGGUGUUGGCGCACCAGCGGCCGGCUGUGUGGCAGCAAUCAGCUGGAAAUUCUUGACUGAGGCAACAGUUACCCUCCCCCGGAAGUUAAGGCACCAACAUUGCAGCUGCUCAUGCCAUCUGGGCGGCUUGUUUCGGAGAACCAGUGGUCUGUCCUUUCCCUCAUCCUCUUCAUCACGAGGCCCAAUAAUGUCUGAGAACCGGGAGCUGCUGAACUCGGUUGAGUUAUCAAUUGAUUUUGAGAAGGAGAUGCUACGGAACGAAUCUUCAAGGUUGCGAGGGAGGAGCUCAGCCUGGCCAGGCACAGUGCCACCCGGCUCAAGGGAUGAAGCAGGGAUUGAAUGCAUAGUGCAGUGCAUCCUUCGUGGCCCCCUGGUGCCUAAGACAUUCAGCUCAUAUGUGACCUGGGCAAUGUUGUAGCUGCCAGUUGGGACUUUAGGAGAAACCUUUUUCGAGUAGAACCUCCGGCUCGUUCGGCCAGGUGGGGAGAGUUGAGAACCAUUGUAUGGUGGCUGUGUAUCAUAAAUUAUGAACUUUGUGCCAAGGAAAUUUGACCUGAAACAAGGGGGAGGACAAACAAAUUUUGAGACAGAUAGAGAGUAAUUUAUGAACACAAACUAGAUUAUAGGCUUAAAACAAAAAUUGACCUGAAAUAAGGAAAAGAAGUGCAUUUCAUUCAAUUAAUAAGACGGAAAUGCAGUGAGUCCUAGAUACAAACUAGAUUAUAGACUUGAAAGCCCUCACUGGGUUAUGGUUAUAUACUCAGGAUAUACUGUACCAGCAGACAGAUCUUCUUUCCCCACUAUAGCAUGGUCCUUAAUGACCAAUAAUCUUAGUAGAAAGUAUCUUAUGUUCAUUACAUAAUUACUAUUCUUGAUUAGUAGAACUUAUCAUCGAUAUUUUGUGUAAAUGUAUAAGAAAUUAUUCUGAAAGGGUCCCUAGUUAUAACCUAUACAAGAGUUCUUGGUUUAUAAGUAAAUCCAUUCCUUCUAACUUGGGAUUUUUUGGUACAUGAAUAGUAAUGCACAGAGGUAAUUAAUUACAUCUGCAUGUUUAGUAAUUUGGUUCAAUGGCAGCAUUGCUAGGAUAAGAGACAGCCAUGAGAAAAGACACGACAAUGAUUUAACAGCUAGGACCAUAAGCAUUCAUGUAUCUUACAAGGAUAACAAUGAUUUACGGCCUUGGAUAGAACAGGUAAGUAGAAAAAAAUUCAUGUAGCCAACUAUAAGCAGCUAGGACUAAGUCUCCAUUUAGCUAAAAAAAUUGUUAUUUUGUGCAUUUGUUAUUAAAUGCUAUAUAAAUAUCAAAAGACACAUGAUUACCUCGAGAAAUAUUGAAGCCCUAAAACAAGUUCACACCUCAAUAAUUUUCAUAUUAGGAACACCAGAUGUUUGAAAUUUAAUCAACAUAUUCAAACAAAUUUGUAGUUCAAAUAUAAUAAAACUAAAAAAGGAAACAUAAAUCUUACUAUACAAUUAACACCACUUCAAUUCUGUAUAACAUAAAUGACAGGUAUAGGAUAUCAGUAUACUUUGUGCACCAACAAUAUGAUGAAUACUACAGACAAGUAUGGAAUUACAAGAACAAUGAUUUAUAUAAUAAAAAAAGACCUAACUGUUUCCUUAAAGAUUCUCAGGUAUAACAGUUGAUUUAGGAGUUUCCCAUACAUGGACUGAAAUUGAGACCUAUGCUGACAGUCUUUCACCUCAAGCUUUCUUAUGCCCAAACCCAAAUAAAUCAGAAUCUUUAGAGAUAAGGAAAGUGGACAGAAAAUUUUCAAAUCAGAACCUGGAUCCCUAGAAUGAUAUUGGAGGUGGAUUAAAGAGGACUAAUUCCAGCUACACCGUCCAAAUACGUCAUGUAGAACAGAGUGAUUUACAUGUUCUUAAGCAUUAGGAAUCCUAUUUUAUGCUUAAGAAUCAUAUCUUAGAAUCAUAAAUAGGAGGGACACACAAAAAUAUGGCAUAGUUCACAUGCCAUGAUAAAGUUGAUGGGCAUUUACUGAAUGUAAAAGAAUGGUAAGAAAAAUGGUGUAUUCAUCUACCUCAGCUUCCCAAUAUAAGUGCUGCUUGAUCUUGAUAUGUUAUCGGCAUCCAUGGAGAUUACAUAUUCUGUGCAAGUAGUUCUCCUGUUUCGUUUUGCAGACAGAAGAAAUUUCCCAUUUUCAACAAGCAAAGCUGCAAAUAUGGAACAAUAAAUCACAUAUCACAAAUAAUGGACAUUAGGAAAAGCAUUUAGUAAAGCAUUAUCUUUUUUUUAUAUAUAUAAGUAUUUAGUAAAGCAUUAUCUUAUACAGCUUAAAAGUAAGCUAGAACACUAAAACAAUUUGAUUUGUGCGUGAAAACAUAACUUAUUAUCUAGCCAUUUGCAGAAAAAUGGGAUGACUGAAAUUAAAUUAUAAAAAGAGAUAUUUUUUCUGUAAAAAGAGGAAAAUACUACCCUACUGUGACUAUGAUGUCAGAGGUAAUAAGGCUUAUAAGAACACUAAACUAAAAUUAGUUGAAAGCAUAGGAGCUGAAAUUCCAUUCCAUGCAGCACAAGUACAAAACCAAUUGCAGAAAAGAUUUGGUUGAUUCAACCACUCAAGGAAAAUGGUCUAAAAUCAUAGGAGCAUAAAUCUAUCACAUUCAGCAAAAGAGGCCAAGUUUAAGACAAGGUCAUGAUUGUUCAUCAAGGGGCAAUUUGGGAAGCCUAUACAAUUGGAAGCAAUGCACACACUUGUCAAGCAGGAUUUUCAAGGGAUUACUGUACCCCUUGCUUUUAUAUAUACAUGUAUGAAACAGAAAUUCAACAGAUUGACAUUAAUUAUGAGUUUCCAAAAAAUUAAAACCCUUAGGGUACCAUCAAAACCAUGGAAUUAAGAUUAGGCCUUCAGUGUCUACUAAUGCUAAAAAGGUACUAGCUUUACUAGUAGACAGAUGGAAUCGCAUAAGAGGCUGAAGGAGAGCAUAUAAGAAAUUGGCUUCUGAGCCUUCACUCUCAGAAGGAAGGUCUUAGAAAUAACAAAUUUCAGGUGGCUAACACAACAUUAUAAGGGCUGAUAAAUUAACGAUCAAAACUGGAAGCUCAGCCACAUGUGUAAUAUGAGCCAUAAAGAUUAAGGGCAGCACAAUUAGCAAUCCAACAUAAAAAUCACAACUAAAGCCUGAAAUCAUAAGUAUCCCUUCAUUGUGCCACUGGGCCUUCUGACUCAAAGUCUGCUAAUAAAAUCAAGAAACAUGCUAGCGCCACAAGUGACAGCUGGUUAUAUUAAUUUGUGAUCCACAUCAGCCCAACAAAAGUCAUGUCCCAUAAAAUCCGUAAAAGGAAUCAGCGGCAAACAAACCGUUGAGAGAGAAUCUUACCAGGGCUAAGGCAAAGGAAAAGGUGGUAAGUCAAGUUGGACUUGUCCCUCUUAAUGAAGCACUGAAUGGUUCCAUCCCGAGGCCCUGGCUGUAAACAACAAACAAACCAGAACUAGGUCAAUCAUAGCCCAUCCCCAAUAUAAUGGGAAAUUCUUUCUUUUCAACAAACACAUGAGCCUUUAAGUAAAUUUGCUCACAUAGAUUAUACUACGGAUAAAGAAAUCAAGUAACCGUUUAAGGAAUCAAAACUUACGUAACAACUUGGGAGAAACCAACUUAAAGCAAAACAAAGACCAUAAAAAAACAUGCCUGUUUCAGAGAGAUGGGGAAAGUAAGCUUCCCAGAGAACUCUGGACUUUUGACAAUUUCUUUACACAUUUCUCUCCAGGAUCUGCAAACAGCAGCGCAUGCAACAACAUGCUUGCGAGAUGGCCAUGUACUCUCGCUUGCCUCCAACCUCUUAAUCACAUCACGAAGUAGCUCAGGUGGAAGGCCAGCCCAACGACUGUUUUGGACCACAAGAGGCUGGUCCUGCAACUCAUGGACUGAGCCAUGGGAUUUCCCUCUAUGAUGGCCAGGAAGCCUAACAUCAAAACUCCGCCUUGAUAAGCUCCCAAACCCAUCCCUCACAUCACGAACAAUGCUGCGAAACGACAUUCACUCCAAUAUGGCUGAUAUUUCUGCCAAUCUUGUCACAUAAAUUAUAUUCCUCUUGAGUAAAAUAAUGACCACAAACAGUUACACUUGCAUACAACUGCAAAUCAAGCAAAGUUUAUUCAAAUUCCAGUUAGAAAGCUUAACAACCAAAAAAGAGAAGAGAGAGAAGAUAGAAGAAGAAAAGCACAAAGCAAGAAAAGGAGAUUCCCAGAAAAGAAAGCCUAGCAUGGACUUAAAGCAGCUCAAAAUACCUGACUUUUAUCAGGAACUUCUUCACAGUUUUUUGAAACCUGAUUUUUGAACCCAAAUGUGAAUGAUUCGAUAGUUUUACAAACUAAUUCAAAUGAACAAUACAAAGUCCAAAACAUAAUCAAAGGAAAAUCCAAAAGAAGUCCCGAAAUUCAAAAAAAAACUAAAUAAAUAAAUUAAAUAACUGAGUCAAACUAUACAUUUUCCGGAUUUUAGAAUUCUCGGAAGCAAAGCCAUCAAAGAGACAUCAUAAACACAAAAUAGGAUUUUUUUUUCCCCCUUUUCCCAGGAAAAACAACAAAUCAAUUAGCCAAGUAAAAAGUACACGAGAUAAUUUAAAUGGAGGGAAAAAAAACACACAUUUGAAGAUAUCUUGAUUUUCACUCACUUCAUGUUUAUUAUUGCCAUGAAGUUUCACACAAUAUAAUAUAUCCCAACUAACCCUAAAUAUAAACGUUUUCCUGCAAAUCUUAGUGGUGGAGAUGGAGAAUUAACACGUGGAGCUGGAAAAUCCAGGUUUGAAAACUCACCUGAGCAUCACAAGGUCGGAAUACCAAUACACCACUAUCAAAGAUCGAUUCUUUCACUUGGAAACCAUAGAUCCAUACAUACAACAGAUCAAUCAUGCAAAGAUUAAAUUUUUCUACAAAAACCCUGCACGAACAGAAACUUAGCCUCAGAAGCCAUGCAAACCCCAUGAAAUUUCCAAAAUAAGCCAAGCCCUUUUUUCCUCUAUAAUUAUUAUCAUGGAAAAGAAAAGGAAAAAAAAAAAAAAAAACAGAUACCAAAACCCGAAAUAAAAUUAAAAAAAGAAAAAAUACUUUCCCUCAUUUUUUUCCCGGAAAAGAAAAAUCAAGGAAAAUGAGAACAAAACCAUUUCUUUCCAGACAAGAAAAAGGAAAAAGGAAAAAAUAAAUAAAUAAAUAGGAGCUUGUGAUCAAAAUGUGGUGCUUACAACACCAAUAAAACUGCAUGAAAAACAUUUUUUUUUUCCAGAAACAGUCGAAGAAUCCAGAAAACGAACCUUAACAUCCAACCAUCACCCAAAAAAAGAGAGGGUGAGAAAGAGAGCUGAGAGAAGAAAGAAACAUAUACAGAGAAAGAGAGAGAAAUGAAGAAGAUCUGGUAGAGUGAAUACCAUAAAAACCAGAAGCUGCAAAAUUCACGCCUUCAUGCCCCUAGGGCUCCACACAUAUCAUCACCACACGGUUUCUCUCUCAUCUCUCUUUCUCUACAGACGACACACAGUCUCUCUCUCUCUCUAGAGUGGAGUUUUCCUUUUUGUGAAGCCACGGACUUCAACUUCUUAUCAAAUCUGGUUUUUGGAUAGCGGUGAUACACGUGGCGUCAACGUGCACCUCACAGCACGCUCUCUCACCGUCAGAUUUUGGCGAGUCAACGUAGUGGAUCGGCUGUUUUACCGAGCUACUUCAUGGCUAUUGACACAGUCACUGCUGUCGCCGUGACUCUAGGAUUCUUGCUGGAAACAAAGCUAUUGUUUUUUUUUUUUCUAUUUAUUUGAGUGUAAUUAUCUCUUAAUUUUAAUUCACCCUCGCAAACCAGAACUCCUUUACUCAAUUACCAUUUCACCCUCCCCGUUGACCCCCAUUUGAAACUUGCCUUUUACUUUUUGCUGUAAUUUAAUUUUUAUUUUUGGCUAGUUGUUAAUAAUUAUGGGGUUGGUGAGCAAUCAGAGGAAGGGAUUUGUCUGGGAAACACGGGAGUAAUUUUCGGAGGUAUAUUUUAUUUUAUAAAAUGUAAAUAAUUUUUUAAAAGAGUCAAAUAAGGAGGCCUUUUUAGUCUUUUUGAUAUUAUCUUCUUUCUCUCAACUUCGCCGUCCUUUAUCCCAUCACUCGCCUGCACAAAUUAAAUUUAUUUUACUUUUCUUACAUUAAUUAUUAAUUAUUUGAAAAAACAAAUUUGGAAGCACUCGUAUAAAAAUAAUUAUAAAAUAAAAAAUUUUUAAAUUUUAUUUACUCACAAUCAAAAAUAAUUCAAAUUUUAUACAUGAAAUAAAAUAGUACCUAGUAUAAUACCGAAAUAUAAGAGGUAUUACUUACGACGAAAAAGUAUAUAGAACAUUAAUUAUUUUUAUAUAAUUAUUUAAAAUUUAUAUUUUAUAAAUUCAGAUUCUUAUUUUGUAAAUUUUUUUAUGUUUUCUUAAUCAAACAAAAUUUUUGGUUUGGUUUCAAAAAGUUUAAAAAAAAAUAUGAAGAAAAACAAAAGCGAAAGUAUAAGGAAAUAAAUAAAUUUAGAAUAAAAAACUAUUUUUAUAUAUUAUUUCAUAUUUUUUACAUAUUUUAAUCUUAGGGAAGAGUGAAGGGGUUCGAUUUGUUUAAUGCAAUGAGGUGGGUUCAUGUGAUGUUUAUAAUGACUUCGUGCAUGCUCUCAUCAUCAAGCCUUUACACCUUUAAAACUAUACUCUCCCUUACUAAUUAAAAUUUCACCACUUGGUACUCUUUUCUCAUUUCAUACCUUAUUUCUUAUUAAGCUCUAUUUGAGAAGUUUAUCUAGGAAUAGGCAUGUAAAAUAGAUUUUUUUAAAAAAAAUUUAUUGUUUUAAAUUUUUAAAACAAUAUUAUGAUUUUUUUUCCUAAAUCCAGAUAGGUUGAAAACCAUGUUUUCAUCGAGUUAAUCAUUAAAUAUCAUUAAUGGAUAGAAGAUAAGUUUUAUAAAAUAAAAAAAAAUAAAACAUUAAAAAAAUCUAAGUCGAUCUAGUAACUAUUUUCGAAAAUAGUUUUAAAAAAUAAUUUUUAAGAAGGGUUUUUUAAAGUUAUUUUAUGAUGUUUUAUAGAAUAAAAGUUUGUUUGAAAAUCUAAAAUAUUUUAAUAUAUUUUUAAAUAUAUUUUAAAAAUAAUUUUUUUAUCACAUGUUUUAUUUUUAAUCAUUCUACAUGUUUGUAUAAUUAUUUUUUUAAAUAACCUUUAGAAAACAUAUUAAAACAAUUAAAAAAUAUUAUCUCAAAACACCAUAUUUUCUAUUCUUAAAAACAGAAAAUAGAAGACAAUUUUUUGUCAUUAAACUAAGUUUUUUUUUUUUUUUUUUACUUUAAACAACAUAAAACUAUUUUUAAAAACAGUUACUAAACAAACCCUAAAAUUCUCAAUUUUUUCUUUUAAAUAAACAAGGACAAAAAUCAAUAUUAACCUAACCUUCUCUUAUAAUCACUACUACAAGAUUGAAAUCUAAACACAAAGAGUUUAUAUCUUUUUCAAUUUUUUUUCUCCAAUAAAAUAAAAUAUUUAUCAUUUUGUAAACACUUUUAUUUUAUUUUUACUUAGCUACAUGAUCUAUUAAAUAAAAAGAAUCUUUUUGUCCAUGUAUAUAUCAAAUAUUUCAUGCUAAUUAUACAUUUUGUAUUCAUUUGGACCUAUUAUAUGUUGUGCCAAAAUUAGUUAGACAAUCAGUUAUAUACUAUUCAUCGAACAUUCAAUAAGAUAGCCUCAAAACAAGACAACUCUGUUCACUCCAUCGAUCAAGUUGUUAAGUAUGAAAAUCAAGUCAGGACAAGAAGCAGAUAAAAAAUACCUAAAUUGAAAAUAUUGCUCUUAAAGUGAAUCUCUCUUCCCUUAUUGGGAAAAAUUGUUAUUGUUCAUACUACCUAAACUAACUACUUUUCACUCUAAUUAAACUUCACUGAUUUUAUAGCGAGAAAAUGGAGUCAUGUCAAAAUUGAAUUUCACUUCCAAUCUCAAAGAGGGGGGCAACUUCAUAUCUUCACUAAACACACAAUUAUCUCAUUUAAAAACAUAUAUUAAAAGUAAUAAAAACCUAAAAUUUUAAAAAUAAUACAUUGAUUUGAUUAUAAAAAAACUGAUAAUAUCUUCGCCAUUACUUGGUUUAUUCUAAAAGUUUACAAAAAUUCCAAAUUUUAAAAUCUAGCAAAUGAUUCUAAAACCUGUUGUUGUCCAUAUGCCAAUUUUUUUUAAAAAAAUAAUAUUUAAAAUAUUUAUUUUCGCAACAUAAACAUCUAAAAAAGAUUGGUAUCUUGUAUAAAACAUAGUGCUAUUUUCUUAUUUCAAAAAUAAAAAAUAAAAUAUAUAUUAAAAUGGACAUUGAAUUAACUAAUUCAUAAUCAAUUCAACUCUCCAUUAAGUCAAAGUCUAGCCCAAACCAAAUAAUGGUUUGAUAGAUCAUAGAAUAAGAAGUUGAAAAUGAAAUUUUGUGCAAAAUAUUAUGAAAUUUAACAUGUUUAUUAAUUAAUGAACUUGCGAUCAAAUUUUAAGACGACUAAAAAUACAACCAUAGAAAACAUGUUACACAUUUAUAAUAUAUUUAUCAACUAAAAUAAAUUCAACGCGUCCAUUCAAUGAGCACAUUUGAUUGAAGCAAGUGGAAGAAGUUUCAACGCAAAUGACAAAUUUGACAUGUGAAACUCAAAAGGGGUUUCCAAAAAAAUGGAAGACUUGGUGUGAACGUGAUUUAUAAAUUUGGGCAUGUUCACGUGUUGACGUAUACCAAAUAAUCACCCCUCUUUAUAAAAUAGCAAAUGUUAAUUAUAAAUAUAUCAAUAAAUUUUGAAAUUAAUUAUAUGGUCAAUUCUCAACCAUCCCAUUUAACUACAUUGAAAGCACUCUUAGCCAAAGUCAUUAAUCUUGUUGAAAAGCAUAUAUGUUCAUAAAUUUUUUAGUUGAUUAUGCUACAAAAUAUCUAGCCAAUUUGCAAGUGAACUUACACUUAAAAUUUAUAGAAAUAAUCGGUUAAAUGGGAUGAAAUACUUACCAUAUUUGUGAAUUUAUCUUCUCUCGUGUUUUUAUUUGAUGAGUAAUUUAUUUUUUUAUAUAAAUGCCCUUAAUUAUUUUAAGUAUUCAUAAUAUGUUUUAAAAUAAAAUAUUGUUUUUACAAUAAAAUAAUAAUGAUAUUUUUGUCAAAACGAUGCCAAAAAAUGAUAAAGGAUCAGAUUUUCAAAAUUGGGUUUCCAUUGAACCUUUUUAAUCGAAUAACCCAAUUUCAUGAUAACUAUAAUGUUAAUAUCAUAGAUGAUGUUGUAUUUUUUGAUCCGCUUCUUCAAAUUAAAACAUAAUAGAAAUGUUUUAAAUUUUGAUAUAAUUUUUAUAUAUUAUUUCAUGUUUGAUGAAAGUUGGGGACAAUUUGAGAAAUGAAAUCAUCAUUAUAAUUUUGCUUAUACAUUUUGAUUUAAUUUACAAACUUUUGAUGAUGAUAAAAGAACAAAAUUUCCAACAUUCAUUCUAAAUAAUCAUAUUUGGUGGAAGAAAUAUAUAUAUAUAAAUUUUUAAAUGAAUUAUUUACUCUAAUGUGAUGUUUAUUUUUUGGUCUUUUUUUUAUUAAAUUCAAAGUAACAUAUUGGUAUCGACCAACAUAAUCAAACUGAACCUAAUAAUAACAAGUUUACUUUAAUUUGUUGGUUGAUAUAGAGAAGUUAUUUUUAAUUUAAUAAAAAAAUCAAAUAUUUUAACUUUUUUUUUAUUCAAUCAAAAACCAAAUACCACCAAAGGUAAUUGGUAAUUUAGCAAUUUUGAUACUCAUUUAUAAAAAUAUAAAGAAAAAAAUAAUGACUAUCCUAAUUUAGCAUAUUUGUAAGUAUAGGUUUUAUAUGAUAUUGUAAUACUCCUGUGUCUUUAUCAGAGAUGUUAUUUUAUUAAAAUUAUGUUAGAAUUGAAGUUAAACAAAAAAUAUAUAUAUACAAUUUUUAUAAUCAUUAUUGUUUUUUAUAUAUUUUAAAUUUGACUUCAAAUAAAAAAACAACUUUAAGUAAUAAAUAAAAACAAUUAAUUUAUUAAUAAUUUCACAUCUUUAUUUUAUAGUUUUACCCAUAUUUGUCCUUAUUACCUUUACGAUCUCUUUUGUUACUCUAUAACCUUCAUUAUUAUUCGAUUUUUUUUGCUCUAAUUAUAAUUUAUAAGGAUAAAUAUGUCAAUUUAAUGAUUCAAAAUAAAUUUUAAAUUAAUUUUAUCAAAUAACCUUAAUACUUAAAAUAAAAAUUAAAUAAUAAAUUUUAAAUCAGUAUAAUUUAACCUAAAUUUAACUUAAAUUAUUAAGGAAUAAAUAUUAAGUUUUACCAAACAUCCCCUUAAUAAUUUUUAAAAAAAAAAAUCAAAUAGGAAAAAGCUAAAGCAUUGUAUCGGUAUCCAACAAAUUCUCAAUCUCCAUCAAUGAAAUGAACAAAAAAGUUUCCACAAUUAAAUGAAAGUACAAAUAAUGAACUAUAUACAAAAAAAAAAAAAAAAAAGAUUAAGAUACAAAUAAAUAUCAUUAAAAUAUAAUACAAUAAACAUAAAAUAACGAGAACUAAAUACAUAUACAAUAUAAUUUCAUCGAUCGCAUUUUUCGAUAAGUAUCUUUUUGGUAGUGACUCUUUCAAAUAAUACGUGGUACGAAAAUUGAUGAUUAGGUAUCCAUGAGAUUUAUAUUUUUGUGUGUAUUGACAUGUGAAAGGUAUACCAAAGCAUGAAUCCUCACAAGCAUUUAUUUAUCCAUAGUCCAUAUAAAUAAAAUUUUGACUAAAUUAUCCAAGUCAAUUCUCAAUUCUGAAUUCUCAACCAGAGAGAGCUACAUCUACCACCAUUUCAGGAAUCGCCAUUAAAUAGUGUCACGGACCAUAAAAUUACAAGUCAAAGAAAAAAUCAAUUUUCACAACUUUGAAUAGUAUAACGGUACUAUACAUGCCACGUGUCACCCACCCCAUUAGCUCAAAUUAAAUAAAGUCAGAGGAGAGAAAAAUGUUUGACCUUUUGAGUGUGAUGCAAAUCUACCCUGCCACAACUUGUCAUCAAGAUCAGAUACGUAUGGUGCCCUCUCUUUCCUCCAUUCAAAAUCUUCCUCACAUGGGAUUUGUGUUUUUAUUUUUAUUUUAUAUAUAUAUAUAAAAUAAUAGUAAAAAGUGAUAUAUGCAUAAGGUCCCGUUUGCUUUUUUACUAUAUAAAAAAAUAAAAAACAUACUAUUAAAAAUAAUUUUAUAUCAAUUAAUAUAAUUAAAAUAAACUUGUUAUAAAAAAUAUUAAAUAAAAUAACCAAAUAUUUUAACUUUUUAUAUCUGUCCAAAAAAUUAUCACGUAAAUAAUUUGAAUAUAACAAAUAAUUUUUUUAAAAUUUUAUAAUAAUUUGUAAAAUACUAAAUAAAAAAUUAUCUCUUUCUUAAAAAAAAAUAUAAAAAAAUACCAACUUCAAUAUUUAAAUUGAAAUGGUUUAGUCUAUACAAAUUAUUCUAAAUAUGAAAAUAAUUUUUAAAUUUUGAGAAAAAAGAAUGUUCAUUCACUUGAAGGGUGUCACAUGUCAAUAAGGAAAACAAAAAAGGACAAGUGGAGAUUUGAUACGAGAUCAUUGGUUUGAAAAUUAAGGGAAGACAUUGUAUUAAUUAAUCAUAGUUGAUAUGAUAUGGAAUCACUCAACCAUGAUUAAUUGUAUAAAAAAUGUCACAACCCCAUAGGUGGAAUGUUGAUUAUAUAACGUGAAUGAUGUAUUUGGAGCAUCUUUUUAAGGAUAAUAAUGUAAUUUAAGGCAAAAUAAAAUGAUGGGUAAUUAGAAAUAAUACAAGUUGUUGGCAAUACAUUUUUUUUGUGGCACAAAAGCUUGGAAAGGUUCCUUUGCGUGAAUCAUGCUUUCUACCUACUCUUUGAAGACAUAUAAUGCUAGAUUAAGGUGUAAUUUGAUGAUUAUGAAUUGGAUUAGCACGUUAGGUGAAAAGGAAGAUUUUACGAAUAUUAAACUAUUUUUUUUAUAUGUCUUAGAUAUGCUUAUAUUAUUUUUAAAUUAUGGCCUAUGUAAUCGAGUGAUUAUUUUUGUCUUUUCAAGAAAAUAACUUGAAAAGAAAGUAACAUGUUAUAUGUCGUGAUUAGGUAAUUAGAUGAAUCAAAACAGAUAUUGGAAAUCUCGAGGUUUUAUAUUUAUUAAAUAAUCAUUCAAUGUGGGACAGAUAUCUUAUUUAUUUUUUUACUCUCUAUAUUUCCUUUGUAACCUACUUUUUUAUUUUUAUGAAAUAUUAAGUUAAUGUCAUGCCUUUUUUAAUCUUAAGUAUUCAUUAUUUUUCUUUACUCAUCAAGUAAUUUUUAUUUUUCCAUAUCUCUAUACUAAUUUUAUCAUGACCAGAAUAAUUAAGCAAUUAAGAGAUAAAUAUCAUAUACAAAUUAAAAAAAAGAAAUAGUUCGAAGAUAACCUACACUUUAAGAAAACUGAUUUUGACAAAACAAAAACAUUUUAAAAAAGUAUUAAUGAAACAACCUUUGUAUUGACGACAUAGAUACUAUAAUUAGAUGCUUAUAUAAACUACCUGAAAGUCGUGCUGACAUCAUAUAAUGAACCAUCUAUUUGCUCGUAAUAACUGUGUUACUGUUAAUAUGACCACAUAAGUUAAUGAAUAUUCUUUUGUUAUGAGUAGAUAUCGGUCAAGACAAUUAGAAGAUGACAAGUGAACUCUCGAUAUAAUAUAAAUAUUAGAGAUUGUUUUAAAAAAAAUCAAGUGAAAUUCUAAUAUACUUACAUUGAAUUUUAAAGUUUUAUUUCAAAAAAAUAUCUUUAAAUUCUGCAAUUCAUAUCAAAUCAUUUUUUUUUAAAACAACUUUAUAUAUUGUAAUUAUAUGAAAGUCAUAUUUUCAAAAGACAAUUUUCAUAUUAAUAUUUCAAUUAAUAUCAUAAUUUUUAAAAUACAUCUACUACUUCUUAUAGAUAUUUUAUUUAAAAACCCGCAUAAAUAUAAAAAAAUCCCUUAAGAAAGACAAUAACGUGACACCAUCUCAUGCCUGAGUACCAGGGCACUUUCAUCAAAUAAACCAAAAUGAAAUCCCACUUUUUGAAAUUGGUAAAAAAAUUGGAAUCCACCUAAAUGAUUUUCAACAUGCAAUGCACCAUCUCUUAGGUUCCUUGGCUUUCCUGUAUGCUGGUUUUCCUUCUUUUGCUUGUUAGGUAAGCUAGUAGAUAUGAAAGAUCCCAUGAAAUGAUGAAAAUGAAUAGAGAAUUAAAAGUAAUACAGGGUGAAUGAAGUCAUAGGGUCUCAAAAUAACAGGCUAGGAUCCACUUGUCUGCUUGUUAAAGGGCAAAACCACACCAUUGACAUCAUUUUUCCACCUCCCCCAUCAAAAAAUUACUUAGUUUAUAACUAGAAAAAUGUUUGGGCAACCAUCCUAGUCUUUGACUUUGCCUCAAACAAAUACAAACACAAGAUGACACCUAACCCAAUCAGGCAGGAAGGAAGGUGGAGAGUGGACUGCAGAAUGGGAAAUAAAAGGAGAUCAAAUAUUAUGCCACGUCUGGCUUGAGAAAAUCCUAUAUUUCAUAUUGCAUAGGAAAAGAAGUUUCUGUCUUUCUGAUAGUGUAUGAGAAAAAAUUAUUAAUUAGAUAGGUAUGUUUUAAAUCGUGAGGAGUUAGUAGGUUUAGAAUGCGAAGUGCAAAAGGAAGGCCCAUAAAAUGUUGGGCUGGGUCGGGCUUCAGUGCCCACCCAUAAACCAACACCCAUUUCACCCAAUAGACUACACAAACUUGGAACUGGUGAGUCUGCAGCCAAUUGUUUGAUGUGUACAACAAAAAUGAUCAAAACCCUUGUGGGUUUUCUGCAAAUGGAAAAUGGAUGCCCAAGGUACUCUCAAGCACACUUAUUUCACUUUUUUUUUAUUAGAAAAUUUUGGAAAUUGAAUAUGUUUAAGUGAAAUUUUCUGCCCCAUAAAUGACGGGUUUAGCCUAUUCUGCAAUUACAUGUUGUUUUGAAUUUGUGAUUUUGAUUGUAUGGAUUUACUUUCUAAGUUUUCUAAUGUAUAUUCAUAUGUUAUGUUGAUUACAUUGUUUGAUUGGUUGCUUACGGGAAUGAAUACACAUUUAUAAGUAGUUUCUUGUGAUUUAAAAUGCAUUUGUAAGAAUGUUUGUGGAAAUGAAGGAGUUUGUGGGGAGAGGGAAAAUUGUUGCUACUUAAAAGCAAUUUGAAUUCUGCUGUUUGGGGGUGGGGGGAAAUUAGUGAUGGAAAGGAAUUGGAAGGAUUUGGGUGCAGUUUAUAUUUGGGCAAAAGGGUGUAAUUUGGAUGAUAUUCUUCAUCCCUCCAUAUAAAACUUCUGUUGCAUUUUUCUUUAUGUUUUUGUUUGUAAUGUUGAGAAUCAACAAUCAAGAGUAGUCUUGAAUUAGGUUAGGGUUUAUGAACGUUAUGUGGGUCCUGAAAUCAAAUGACACAAACUAGAAAAAACUGUGGUUGUUUCCUGUGUUAAUCAGUGCUUAAUAGAGAUUUGUAUCAUUGGGUUGAUUUGCCUGUUUGCUUUGUGUCUCUUAGGUUUGAGUUUGAGCCAUCUGAUAUUCAUUUAUCUAUUUUGUUUUAUCUUCAAUUUCUAUGGGACUGAACACCGGGAUGUACUUUUUGUCAUGUUUUAUUUUUGUUAUUUUUUCUUGCAAUGACGAUAUGUAUGAACUUUGCAUACCCAAUGAACCAUCUGUAUCAGCCUUGCUCUGUCCUCCCUUAUUUGCAUACCCCAGAUCUAGGGUUGUUCAAUCCAAGCUAGGAAACAAUAAUCCGAGAAGAACAUGGUUCUGCUCCCAAAAGAUCCUUUGUGUUGCUUAAAAUGGCUUUGAGACGUUCACCAAAAUUGUGACAUUUUCAUCCUUGAAGCUCCUUGGGCAUUAAAAUCUCAACAAAUUUUGGAUCACUCACUCUCAAAUUCCAACUGAAUUUCAAAAUCCUCAUACCUGUCCUAUAAGAACCCUUCCAAUUGGAUGUUGAAAUACGUCAAAGUAGUAGUUUCAAGAUGGAAAAAAGAAAGGAUGUUGGUUCCUGAAGAAGAGGGAGAGAUGGAGCAUAAAGCACUGGCUUCUGCACUGGUAAGGAAGAAUAUGCUAUGGUUAUUGAGUUCUAUUCACCCAAGUGCAUGCUUUGCAAUUCCUUAUUGGAUUCUGUAUUGGAAGUAGAGGGUAGGGAUUCUGUCUGGCUUACCAUUGUAAGUUUCUUUCAUUCUGCCUUGUGUAGAAAAAAUUGGAUGUGUGCAAAAAGAAACUAAAGGAAAAAUAAGUACAGGACGAUAUAUUGAUGGGAUCAUAGAUAGUAUUAUUCCCAUGUUUCACUACCAUGAGUGUGCUGAAAGUUGACGGUCAUUUGCAUUAAGCCACUUUAUGCGUAUCUCAUCACUUUUCAACUUUGUUAGAAAUCUAAAUGUUCGUCAUAGAUAAUCUUGUGUUCUUGGGGAUUGGUUUCAGUUUUAGGGUUAGGAUCUAACUAUCUUAGAACUAAUCUGGUGUUUACAUGUCUAGUCUGAUAUGAAUUGGUGAGUUCAUAUUACUUGUCUUUUAGGUAAUGCCCAUAAUUGCUGAAAUUAAACGGCUAUAUAUUUUGAAUGCUGGAGGAUUUGUAUGUCUUGCCCUUAAUGGUGAGGGAUACAGGUUUUGCUUUGUUAAGUCACCUAUAAAAGGGAAGUUUGUCGUGGAGUGGAGGGAUAGAGGUUUUGAUUUGUUCAGUGACCUAUGGGAAAAAACAGUUUUGUUGUGUUUAUGUAUGUUGCAUUCUGUAUUGAGAUGUUUGGAUGUCCUUUAGAAAUUGAAUGAGUCAGUUUUUUUUAACAAAGGAUUUGAAGAAUGUCUUGUUGGCGGUGGUGAUGCAGUGAGCCUAUUCAAUUUUCUGACACUUCUGUAUUGGGAUUACACCAUGACUUCCUUCUGAUCUUUGCUCCUUUUUAUGGUUAAUUGUUUAUCACACCUUGUUUUCAGUGUUGUUAUCAGAUUUCCAUGGUUGAUUUAAGUGGAACCAUUACGUGAUGACAUUUUCUUCCAUUCUUCUGAUGUUCAUUUGUUUGGCAUCUUUGUGAAGCAUAUUCUUCUCAUGUGAUGGGAAUGUAAUUUCUGCACAAUUACAUUGCUAUUAGUUAAUUAUUAUAAUGAUCUAGCUGAUUUAUCCUUCGAUCCUUGGCAAUGCAGCUCCUCCAUUAUGAAGUAAAGUGUGUUCCUUACUGUAUACUGUUGAAAAAAAUAUGGGUGACAAUAGAACAGACAGUGUUCUGAGCAUUUGACUACAUGUCAUAACUGUUUUUUCUAAUCUUUAAAAAAUGAGGGGCACAUGCUCAAAAAAUAGACACUAGGUCAGGUCUAGUUACUGUAAGACAUACUUUUUGAAUUGUAAGUGGAUUAGAUUCAGUUCAAAGAAUUUUCUAAAUGGAUGUGCAGAAUCCAAUUGUUGUAUUGAAAAACAUGCUUCCAAACAACACUUGCUUAUCGCCUAUAACAAAGAGGAAAACACUAUAUGCUCUAUCAUCUCUUUAACACUUCUGCUUCAUAGCUCUUUUCUUCUGUGACUCCAUCUCUUCAGUAGAUGCUAAAUCUAAACACUCGUAUGUUCUACUUUUGACAGUCACUAUAAACCCACUUGGCACUGUUUCCCAUUGACUGCAAAAGGUCAUACAUUAGCACUAUUUGUUAAUCCAGUUCUUUAGUUCUUCAAGCUUAUUCCUUUUGCUAGCUCAACUUUCUCUUCAUAUUAUCUUUCAGUGUUGACAAUAAAGAGUGUCACUCCAAGCACUUGUUAUGGUCUGAUGUCAAGCUAAGUUGUAUGGCAGUGCUUGGGAACUGCCUUGGAUUGAAUGAAAAUAUAAAACUCAUUUUUCCCUACACAAGCUAAGGCAUUUUGUCACAUCUAAAUGUGAUCCAUAAGGUCAUAAGUUUGCUGUUAAAGCGGUUUGGAUGAUGACAGAGAUAAAUUUGCAUGCAGUUGAUAUUGUAUGGCAAAACCAUAUUGCUGGCUACUCAUUUAAUCAUUCAUCCAUUAAUUUUCACAUGAUCGCUAGAAUUUUUUUGCAUGCAAAGUUAUCAUUUUAGCAUCUCCUACAUGUGAGACAACACAUGAUGCUCUUUGACAAGGACUAGAGAUAUGUCCAUGGCCAAAUCAAUGUGAGCCAAUUCCGGGUUAAGUUAAUUCCUUGGCUCUUUAAGUGGUGAAUUGCAAGGAAAGUUCCGACAGCAUGGUCAUUGCACUACCUUAAGGAAAAGAUAUCCAUUUAGAUGGGAUUGUACACACAAAUUUCGUGAAAGUCCUGCAAAACAAUAAGAAAAAUGAUGCGAACAAAAAUUUGUAUUUAAAAUUAAUUAAUUGUGGGGUACAAUAUCAAUUAUAAUAUUCUUUACAAAAUAAUAUUUUCUCUUUGAUUCUUUCGUUUUGAUCACAAUUCGACAAACGAUGAUGAAAGUGUUUGCUUGGAUUUGAAGAUCAAUUGAGGGUGUAGAGUGACUUUUUCCCGAAUGAACUUGUUGAAUGACGAAGAACACGUGUCUAACACUUCUGCCAUUUAUCAAACUUGUAAGGAGAUUUUAUGAAGCCUUUUCUUUCUUUGUGAAGCCUCUUUUCCCGUGUGAAGUCGUUUUGCGGAUCUCGUUUUCUUGAUCCUGUUUUGCUGAUUUUGAUUUUUUUUUUUUUCCAUUUCUUAAAGGAAGUCACCUUUAUUUAUAGGUGAAGAUAUGGAGUUGAAUUUUGAAGUCCCGAUAUUUGGUUGCUUAAUUCAAGGAAUUUGGUUCCUUAAAUUUAGCAAUUUUUCUCUUUUUUCAAAAGUUUUUUUUUUUUUGUUUUUUGCCAAAAAGAUAAUAUUUACUAUUUCUUUUAUCAUCUUUUUUUUGGUUGGAGAUUUGUUUCCCUUUUUUUUUUUGAAACUUAUCAAUAAGAGAAUAUUUAUUUUUUAAUUCUCUUUUGAUUAGAAGACCUAAUUUCAUAGUCUUCCAAAUUUUGCCAUGUGUUACCUUCCAAGUUGCAUGCCAUGUGCCCAAUGAGCCCAAAGUUUGUUGAACCACAAAAUUACAAUUUUGAAGACAAAUUUAGUGGUAAUUUAAUCUACUAAAUUUUUUUUGAUGUCUACAUGGAUUACACCAUUUUUCAUCCAAAGUUGUAGACAUGUUAUGAUAGCAUGUUUGUAAAUUCCUCAACUUUAAGGAAGAUGGAUUCAAUCCCAAAUUUCUGUUGUAAUCCAGAAAAGCUUCAUCUGUGAUAAAGCUAACAGCUUCAGUGGAAUUACAUUUAUAUUGAAAGUUUGUUUGGAUAUUUUAGGACUCUAUACUCCAUAAUAACCUUAUAAAUAAAAUUUAGGGCACAAAGGUCCAAACAGAUAAGAGGUGGUGUGGUAGGGGUCUGGGUGGUGUGUUGUAAUGUUCCAAUAUGAAAAGUGUAAAGUGGUGGCAAUAAGUGUACUAUGGUCUUCUUGCACCUGUUGUAUCUGCCCUGCCCUGCCCUUUAAACCACAUGCUUCUCACUAGCAAAACUUCAUCUGGCAAAAAUCCUAGCGUGACAUGGGAGCUGAAAUUAUUUGAAGGUUUAUGAAAAAAUUAUAAUGUUUUCCCUGGAAGACUGGUGAAUUUCAUUAUCUUUUUAUUUAUAAGAAACUAUUUGCGAAAUAGUAAUCAGCAGUUCUAAGAUAUUCCUUCAAUGCACUUCUACCAUUUAAUUUUUGCAUCUGCUCAAGAAUGGUUUCACAAAUAUUAUCUAUAUACAGAUAGUUUUUUUACCUGAAAAGUACAAACUAAGAAGAAACUAAAAAUAAAAAGAAAAAUGGAAUGCAGAAUUUAUACAAUCCCUUAUAGUGGUACUAUCCAUUAUUAUAGCAUCUGCUACAAUUCCAACCCUAUAUGUCAGUGAUGUGUAAUGCACUCCAACACGAUUUCUUCUUUUGAUUCUUGUCUUUGUUCAUUUGUUACACUUUUCCCAUCUUCUCUGUUCUUCCCCCACAAAACGCUGUAGAGCCCCACCACUAGCAAUACUGCCCCACCAACACUGCCACAAAGAGUUAAGAGAAAUGAAUCUAUUGUCAGUACUUGGUUGUCAGAUGCUAUUACAACUGGAUAAUGUUCCAGAGAGUCAUGAAGCAAAAUGUUUUGUUUUUCCACAUGAUCCUUUGAAUUCAUUCUUUGAUACAUUUGAUAAUAUGUCAUGUAACUCUCUCUUUUUUUCUCUGGUAAAACCUAGGAAGCAAAUGCUUCUUAUAGUUUGUUUUAGAAGAAAGUUUAGGUUAUGAACCUUCCCCAGUAAAGGGUCUCCUUCCAUAAGAAUGCUGAGAAGACAGCUGUUAUGAUUAGUGCCAAUGGAGUGAACAUGGAUGUGAAGACGGGUCCUUUCUUCUCUAUAGUCCAAACUUGCAACCAAUAAGUAAUCCCAGUGACAACAAUGCCCUGCCAUUUUCACUUGUCUAUUAGAAGCAAAAUGUCUAUAUGCAUCUAUGUAUCGUCAUGCACAUGCAUGCUUAUUUAAGUAUAUAGAUGCAUGUGCUUAUGCUCUAGUCAUGGUUGAUUCUGAUGUAACAGGAGCAGCAUAUUCAUCUAUGUAUUAUGGAACAUGAUUAGCAUGACAAUGAUGGAUUUAGACUAGUCAUUUCUCCAAUCACUUGGGAGUGAAAUGCAUCGAUAUAUGGAGGGAGUGAUCUUCCACUAGUGGGGGUAAAAUUAUCUUCUUUAGCUAAUGAUCACAUGGCCAUUGGGAUAAGUUGAUUUUAUUCUAUUUUUAUUUUUUAUUUUCUUUUUUGUUGGGGUCGGGGAUAAAGGAUUGUAAAAGUAGCUACAUGAAGGUUUACAAUUCUAGGAAGAAGAUGCAGUUUAUUUUGGAUUGAACUCAAGGAAAUGGAAUUUCUGAAUCUUAUGAUCCAUUUUGAUUUUGUUUCUAUGUUAUAUGCAGAUAUCAGCUUUACUUAAUGGAUGAAGACACGUACACAAUAGGCGAUGGAAAGAAGAUUAAGAUCCCAUGCUAGCUUCCAUGAUGAUGGGUUCCUCUCCACCACAGCAGCCAGAACCACUGACUGUAUGCAGCUAAAGAAGCACUGAAGAGUAGUGAGGCGUAGUUUUGCUGGAUACUGCUUGAUAAUUGGACCCUAUAGAAACAAGAAUAGCUAAAAAUCCAUUUUGUGUGUAACAGAUCGAGCAAGAAUUUCUGAAAUAAUGGAGAAGUUCUAGGAAUUAACCUGUAAAAUAAGCCAGAGAGACCAGGCUGUGUUGGCUGCAAGCAUCAUCAGGGAGCCUUUUAUCCACUCUCCUUUGGAGUUUUGCUCUACAGACGAGUCUGAAAUUCCCUUCUUGAUUUCUGGAUACCAGUCCAUGAACUUCAGAGGAGGACCCUUGACAAAAGCAAACACCAUAGCCCCAGAAACACCCACAACAGAACCAAGCACCUUGGCUAUUCCAUGGAAAUGUUUCAUGGGAAUGCUCUCCAUCCUGAAAUAUUCAGAGCCCUUUUUUAUUUAAAAUGAAGGUAAUAGCAAAUCAAUCCUUACACUGAUAUUUACUUGGAAAGCUUCUCAUUUACCCUAUGAAAACAGCCAUGAUAAAGGUAAUGGCAGGGAUUGUGUUGGUGGUGGCCGCAGCAAAUGUUGCAGAGGUGAAACCAAUUGCCACAUAAUAGAGAUUUAAACUCAGGGUCAGCCUGCAGAUUUUUCAUAUAUAUGAGGGAUUGUUAGUAUGGAUUUUAUAUUUAGAGAUUAAGUUUGUUAAUUUUUUUUAUUAUUUGUUCACUUAUCUAUGAAAUGGUUUAUAUGAAAUUGAGUCAUGGAAAUAGCAUCAAAAUUAAGCCAAUUACUCACCCACAUAGUGAAACCAAGAAGAUCUUGCAGAGUGUACUGUAAGACAGGGGAGCAUCUUUCUUCCUGCAGAUUCAAGGGAAAAAAAAUCCAAAAAUUUAAAAAGAGAAAACAUUAUUUGAGCAUAUGGGCAGGAAAGACAGAGAAAAACAGAGUCAGGUAUAUAUAGUGAGUUUGAGUCAACCUCUCCAAGAAGAAAGCAAAUGGAGCUAAGGCAAGUGAGGCACAAGCUUGUCGAUAAACCACAAACACAUAAGGGUUCAUUCCUUUUGCAAUUGCAGCCUUAGAGAACAAGGCCAUGCCUGCAUACACAAACUGUAUGAAGAGCAUUGCAACAUAAGGCCUAUGGUUCUCCAUAGCCAUCACAUGGCCAACUAAACCCUUCAUGUUGCACUAUCUUUGGCCUCUUUUGAGAGUAUAUUGAGAUUGAGAAGCUCUUCAAUUUAUAGAGAAGCCUAGGGUUCUACUCAACACUCCCCUGCAUGGACACUUAUGGUGUCUUUUUCCUAUUGAUUUAGCCUGGAAUGUGGUCCUGGGGUGAAUUCCUUUUAGCUCCCUUCCUCAAUGGAAAAUCCAGUAAUAUCAACCACUUGUACCAUGUCCCUCAAAAAAGGCAUAAAGGACCAAUAGUUUCAGAUUCUUCCCUACUUUGUACAGCUUAAAGGCAACAAGGUGGAAAUAGUCUUCUGGCAAUGUUCAGUUUGGUAUUGAAACAAGUGCUUCAAUUAACUGUGCUAAUAUAGACCAUCCCCUCAUACCAACUUCGAACCUGCAUUUAUCGCAACCAAAGAUGUCAUUAUCAGCAUAGGGGCUAUAAGCCAUGAGCACUAAUUCGGUCAUGAGCACUAAUACACGCAUGAUAAUUUGGAUCACCACCAAUUAGAAAUACCUUGAAGCACUAAGAGGGGCAUUUGGUUAGCAUUUUAAAUCCAAUGUGAGACUGUUUUGUAACAUGGCUAACUGAGAGCAAUGUUGAAGACAUUGUCAAAAGUGCAACUUCUCUGAGGAUGAAAUGAUUGAAUCCGUAAUUUAUAUUUGCAUGAUUUCUGGUUCUAGUGAAAACCACUAAGGUAUAUGGUUGAGUGGGUGUGCACUAAUAUGAGAUGUCAGCUGAAUGGAAUCACUUGUGGUAAAACAUUCCAUCAUAGUUGAAAGUGAGAUGGAGAUGGAUUCAUUUGGUACAGAUCUCUGUGCUUGAUACUUUUGUGGCAAGGAUAUGUCAAUUUGAACAAAAAAUUUUUGGAGUUUGCUAACACAGUCAUGGUGAUCAAACUUUGCUUUAUGGCCAUAGUUGUAGGGCAUGCUUCCCCCCCUUAAGAAAAAGUUCAGAGUGAAAGGGAAAUUUGUCAAAAAGGAUAUCUCUUAAAGCAUGCUUAGGAUCAGCUUCAAGUUUAUAGGGAUAACGAAAUAUUAACUUUAGGUAAAGAAGUGAAAAAGCAAUCUUAGCAUCCCCCUUCAAGCUUGAAAAUACUAACAUGUUUUACAAUACUAAGUUAAGCAUUUAGGAUGAGUAAUAUUAUUUGUCAUGGUUUAACAUAGUAUAAGAGCUCUGAUUUUUAGUGUCUUCUGUUGUUUUUUUAUCUUUCUAGUCUAGCAUGAUAUUAGAAUUUUGGGUUUUUAUUAUCUUUAAUCGGGUACCUAUUCAUCUGUUUUGUCUGCUUCUACACUUGAAGAAUUGAUGCGAUAUGCAUUGUAAGAGUCUGCCAUGAUUUUUCUUAGUUGUACUUGUAAUGAGAAUUCUUUUCUGGUGACACAGUGUGAUUCAUAAUAUGUAAGGUGACCAAAACCAUAAGGCAACCUUGUUAGUUGAUUAAGUUACUAGUAAUCCUCAUGUCCCAUAAGUAUACAUACUAUCCCAGUCUUAGUCAUCAGUUCUACAUCUUCUUGGUGGUUCAGGAUACUGUUGCAGCACUGCAUCUUGUCAAUGAAACAGAUCAUGAGUGAAAAUGGGGCUUUGGAGCUUUCUAUUUUUGGGCUAUCUUUGCAAAAUUAACAUGUGCUUGCUUGGAUGCAACAGAGCAGCUUCAUAAGAACAACCACAUGGGGGCCAAUAUUGAACCUGACCAGUACAAGCUUAGCUUUAAAUGCUAAGCCAUGCGGUGUCUCCCUUACUUUCCAAUCAUACACCCACUUGGGUCCUACCAUUUCUUCACAUUUCCUCUGUUCGAGAGGACACUGGAAUUGGGCUGCUCUAUUUUCACUUUUGUUUUUCAAAAGUCUCGUGUGAAAAUAUGAUUAAUUUUUUUAUUUGAUCAUAGGAAUCAUCUUCCUCAGUUGUAAAUGAAAUUAUUUUUGCAGAAUCAAAGGUUGGUUCUAUAAAUUGUCUAUUGGUGUAGUCUGUUUGAAUGAUGUAACAUCACCCUUCUAAGAUAUCUCAAACUUGAGUUUGAGUCAAGUUUGAGCCUGUGUGAACCAGCAUCAAGGUUGAGUUAGGAUUAGGUUUGAAUACAUACCAACCUAAUUCUCAAGUUUGAUAUGCAUUAUUAUAAAUAUUUGUAUUUGUUUUAAUAUUUAAUAAACUGAAAAAAAUUAUUAAGAAAACUGAAUGAAAUACCCUAAAUGGGAUCAGAAAUUGCAAGGGGAUCUUUGUUUGUUUAUAACUAGGUCAACUAAUCAUACUGUCCAUGUAGGAGAAAGAACAGAGAAAUAAGAAUUAGGCCAAGCUGAACAUGAUAAACGAUUCUUUAGAUCAGCUUUGGGUUGAGUCUUUGGAACCAUUCAAUUAAGCUGAAAAUACAUCAGGAUGUUCCAAACUUCAAUUAGCAUGAAUUAAGAGGAAGAAGAAGUGGCCGGGGCGGGGGGUGGGGGGGUUGAAGAGAGCAGAGGAUCUGUAUGGUCCUCCAUGCAGGACCCAUGUGUCAAGCUUUUAGGGUGCCAAUCUUAGUUAAUACUAUACAUUGUGUUGCUGGUUUGUUGUCCUUUCCCCUUGUUUUGCUCCUGUUGUGGUUGGCACUGUAGAAGUGAAACCAGAACUCACAUAUGCUCCUUUUCUUUCACUGUUAUGGAAGUAACUCUUGAUCCAUCACUCCAUGUGCAAUCCUUCUUUUCGCCGUUAUGGAAGUCACACUUGACCCAUCACUCCAUUUGCAAUCAUGCAACUUACAAUGAUAUAUACACACAUGUUCAACUCACCACUCACCUUUGGCAUUCCUAUUAAUGAGUAUGAAGUCACACUGGUAAUGCUCCUCUGCUGUUUACAUGAAUUCAAAUAUCUACACAUGUAUGUUUACUCAGCCUUUUCUCUUUUGCCUGAGCUUGAUCAAGGUCCUGUCUCUGUCAAGGAUCUUUUUCCUGGAAAUGAGCACGUGUUCCUGGAAAACCACAGGAGUUUUAUAACGACCUCAUAGAGUGUUUUGCAAGAGUGUCACAUUGCUGUGAAAUGUGGCUGUCAGCUUAUUUGUGGGAUCACCAUGCAUAGUGUUACCUUAUACUGUAGCCUGUGGUUGGUUAUAAAAACCUCAGUCAUUUGUAUGCUUUUGGGGAAGAGAUACUUCAUGUUUUAACCAAAUGAAAAUCUACAAGGGUGUCAUUAUCAUAUCGUAAGGGAAAGGAACAUGCAAACAUGACAUUCUCAUUGUGUUCUACAGGAUUGUCGGUCAAAUACAUGACACCCUUUGAAGGGCCAAACAAAUAAAGGUUCACAGGGGUUGGAAAUUGACUUUGAUAUAAUUUGCAAUGACCCAUUUAUUUCUAUGGUUCAUUCCUUCUACGUUUUUAGGUUUGAUGGGCACUCACACAUGCAUAUGUAGUGUCAAAAACUUUUUUCCUUAUCUGAUGUGGAAUAUCACAAUCAUGAUUGUGAUAUGAGUUUCUCUUAACCAUGUAAACAUGUUUUAAAAUCGUGAAGAUUUAUCGGAUUCAAAGUAGAUAAUAUCUAAAAGUUGAUUGUUACGUCAUCACAUAAGCUGACAAGAGUCGCAAAUGGUAUUCUUUUUGGUUGAAAUCUAGCAUUCAUCACUCUUAUUAAUAAUUAGGUACCCAAAAUUUCAAGAAUGAAUCAUGAAAACUGUAGAUGAAUAAUCUCAUGUCUCUUUUCAGUAUUGUGGAUGUCUUGAUAUGUUUGCAGCCACUCCAAAAAGGCGUAUAUCGAUCUUGACUUUCUUUCCCCUGCACCAUCAUUGCCUUAUCGUCAAGCUUUUUCUCAGCAAAAUCCCAGAAAAAUUUACACAUUCUAACAGGUCCCAGUGACGCUGUAGUCCCAACACCCGAGUAGUUCAAUGCUUAGAUGAUCAACUGCUGCAGCAUGAUUUACGGCAAAUUUGAGUUUGAUACAUGUGCAUGCACCUGGACCUACAUAAAUGUUGUUGGCUGGCCAAUAGUUUAUUUUGCCCCUAGUUCCCAGCCCCUACCCUUGCCGUGGUCCGGUCCUGCUGCUCCUUUAAGAAGAUCAUUUACUUCAUAGUGAAUCAGCAAUGAAUAGGGCCUGAUUGGUUAGGGCGUUGAUCGACAAGACCCACCAAGACAACGCUGAAUUCCAGUUCUUAAAACUUAAAAGCCAUUCAUACACGGCGGACUCAAUUGAAUGAGGAAUGCCCACUUCAUGGACCACAAAAUUGGAAAAUUCAUGACUGCCAAUUUCAUGGGCUUGCGCUGGGUUGAUAGUACACAAGCCCACUUGUAGUUUCUUUCAUAAAAGCCGAAGAAAGGCCUAUAAAGAAUGGUAGAUGUAGCACACAUCCAAAAGCUAUUCUAGCACAUAAGUUAUACGUAACGAAAAAUGCCUUCUUCCCCUCAUCUUUUUUCUCCCUCCCUAGUCGAUUUCAGAUCACGUCACUCCCAAUAGAGGGAAGUGAUUGGAAAAUUUACCCAGAAAAGUUUGUUUGUCCUCGUGAAACAAUGAGCAUAUCCUCGAUCCAAAGAUAGCAACCAUGUGAUCAAUUUAGAAGAAAAGAAAAAGGGAAUGGAAUGUAAAACUAUUCUUUUCCCUAUACGCUGAUAAUGUAUGUCGAGUCGAUCUAAUCAUCCUCAUUUAUAAGCUCAUAAAUACGUCGUAAAUAGAAUGCCUUGUAAUUUGCAAUCGAAGACAAGAAAACAAAAAUAAAAUAAAAGGAAGAAAAAUUAAAAUAUGGGUCACAAGUAAUUUGUGGUGGUUUAUUAAUAAGAUAGAAUUAGCUUAAAGAAUAGUAUUUAGUCAAACAUAUGCAUUUGCCUUUAAGUCAAGGGAUUCGUUGAGUGCACGAAAUUGAGUAUGAUUUUUGGUCAUCUAAUUAGAGUAAUUUUUUUUUCUAAUAGAUAUUGUACCAUUCAAAGAUUUGAUUGAGAUUGUUAAAUUAAAAAUGGUGAUAUAUUUUUAAUCCAUGGAGAUGCCAAUGAUUUGGUGAGGUUCCAAAGGGAAGUAGUUGUUUUCAUUGGAGAGGUUUUAUUAUUAUUAUUAUAGAAGAUGUGGAAGAUUUUGACAAACAAUAGAAUCUCAACCUAACUUGUAGACACAUCUUUCCCUUGCUUGGACACCAUUUCUUGGUUCCAUUCAAACCUUUGAACCUCAUCAACCCUGGUAUUAUCUUAUUUUUACUAUUAAUAAAUUCACCGAAAAAUAAUUAAAAAAAAUCUUGAAUAUUAUUGUUGAAAAUGGGCUUGCGUGGCUAGAUGGAUUGACCUAACCUAACUUGACUCGACUCGGCUAACCCAAUAAUUUAAAAAGUAAGGAUCAAUUUGAGUUUUAUAACUACUGAGAGUGUGUUUCACAAUGAUUUUAAAAAACAUUUUUAAUCUUUCAAAUAUUUCAAUGAUACAAAUUUUCAAGUGUUUAAAAAAAUUAAAAACACUUUUUAAAAUCAUUGUUAAACGGUCUCUUAAAAACUAUAUCUCUCCUACUCUAAAUAUAUUUUUUUUAUAAAAUAGUUUUUUUUGGGAAAAAAGUUUUAUGGAAAAAGGUUUUUUUUUUUUUUUUUUUUUUUUUUAAGUUUUUGAUUUUCUUUGUAUGAAAAUAAAAGUCAAAACUCUUAUAUUACGAAAAAUCAUUGAAAACUAGCAGAGUUUUCAUAUUUGUAGUUUUAUUCAUGAUUUGAGACAAAAAAUUACCAAUAAAACAAUCAAAUCGGGAUUUUUGACCAUCUUUAGAAGUAACCCAAAUUUUUUUCCUACGAGAAUGGUAAUGGGAAUUUAAAUUUGUGAAUGAACAUGACACUCCUCUCCUAAUAAAUAAAUACAUUUUUCUAGUUGAAACUUGGACACUAGGAAUAUCUUUGGAGUAUUGCCCCACAUCCUCUAAUGAUAUAAAAUUUUGCAUAAGGUCCUCAUCACCAUAAUUAUUUAACGAAUUAUCAUGUAAAUUAAUCAGGUUAUCAAAAGUAGGCAAUAUUUUUAGUUCCAAAAAGGUUUGCUACCUGAUUUUGUAUGAUAAAAAUAUGACCUAGCAUGUCUUGACUCUUGGAUUUGUGUGUGGAGGUAAUAGGAUUUGUAUUCUUUGUUUUAUUUAUUUAUUUUGGGUUUGGUUAAAUAAAAAAAGUAUUUCUAAAUGAUAUUUUUAUGAUCCUCGUGACAAAGUUUGGACAUGAUUUUAAAAAUAGCUUUUUUUAAAAAAAAGAAAAUCAAUACAACUAUUCUUAUUAUAAAUAUCAUAAUUAAAAUGGGUAAUAAAAUCUAUGAUGAUUACGUGCGUGUUUAAGAGCUUUUUUACUCAAAAGUAUUUUUAGGAAUUACCAACACUAUAAAUGAUUUUUUAUAUUUUUAAAAGUGUUUCUUAAAUUUUGUCAAAUACCUAAUUUUUGUGAACAAGAAAAUCCAAGAAAGAUUAGCAACAUGAUAUUUGUAGCUCGGGCUUCAGCAACGCCUACAACAGAUCAAGUCCCAACUCCGAUUUUUGUUUUAGGGAUUCCAAUUUUAGGCCAUGACCAUGGCUUUCCUGUCUGAAGCUCACUUUUCGGGUGAUGCCUAUGAUUGUGCUCCUGGACGAAAGAGAAUUCUUAUUUGGUGAGACCGUGAAAUAGUUUUUUCAAUAGAGUGUGAGGUAGGGUAUACAUCACUCCAAAUGUUGUAUGGAUGAUUAUUACAACACUAUUUAUUUUUUAUUUAAAGUCAAGAAUUUGCCUAUCCAAAUUGAUUAAAAAAAAACCAUCAUUUCACAAUUUUUAUAAUAUUUAUUUAAUUAUUUUCAUUACAAGAUAUUCAUAUGCUUUAUAUGUAAAUGAUUGUUAUACCUUCAUAUUUUAGGUUUUAAUCUUCAUUUUAUAGUUAUAAUAUCAUCAUAUUCUAGAAAAAAAAAAGAAAAAGAAAAUAGUAAGGUAGUGUUUUUUUUUUUACUUAAUUGUAAAUAGAAUUUCAAAUUAAAUAAUGUUUAAUAGUGUUAAGUAUUAAAUUGAUUUUUUUUUAUUUAGUAAAAAAUUUAUAACAAAUCAUAAAAAGAUAGAAAAAUAAACAAUUUAAAAUUUGGAAACAAAUUACUUUGAAUAAAAAAAAGUUAAAAAAAAAACCACCUUUAAACAUUCUGCAAUGAAUUUAAAGGGCAAAUUAUUGAAUUUUGAAUUUGAAAGUGGCAAAAUGCAAAAGGCUGAACAUCCGCAUGCAAAAACUAUUUAACCUAAUUUAUUUACACAUUACCCUUCUUAAAUAUUCCUUUAAAAAGGAAAUAAUAGUGAAAAUAUAAUAUGCUAAAAACAAGUAAAUAACAGUUAAAUGCAUCAAUAACUACCCUAGAAUUUGGCCAACAUUAUCCAUCUCACACCUACGAUAAAUUCAUCCAAUAAAAUCUUCCAUUGUCAUUCAUAAAUUUUGGCCUUUUCAUCAUUCUGUACAUUAACUCAUCUUCAACAGUACUUGAACCCCUUCAGUCCAAACAAACCCAUCAUCUUCAAACUUGCUAAAAGAUCUUAAAUUGGUAUUUGUUUUGAGCAUUAAAUUAAAAGAUUUAUAGCUCAAAAGGCCUCUCUUUGGAGUUCUCUCCCUCCUUUGACUUUCCUGAUUUGUCCCACUCCUCCCCUUAAAGCCUGGUCUCAGGCCUCCAUAUGUGAGUCCCAUCCAUAAGCUUAAACUCAAAAGAUUAUAUAAUAUAAAUCUAAUUUAUGUCUUGUGGUGUGGGCAAUGGGGUCCAAAGACUCCAAACUCUCCCAUCCAACCCAUGAACUCAGUCAGAAUGAAAGCAGCAAGACCCAGGAAGUGAAAAUAGAAUUUCACCAUUCCCAGAAGGUGAUAAGUUCAAGCAAAGAGGAGAGAGAUAUGAAGAUGGAUGGAUGGAUAGAAUUUUGGGAGUGAAGAUGACGUGAACAGGAGGUUUCUAAUGUCUUAUACUGUAACUGUGUAACAGAAUAUCUAUUCUCCAUCAACAGAUCAUGACCACUCAAUAUGUGGACCCCAUGUUUAAUGGACAAUAUUUGGAGACUUCCCACAAACUGGACAAAAUCAUAGAGCAUGCACAAGUCAAAGAAAAUGGACCAUGGUGAUGGAGAAAUGCUCACUUUGAGAUUGAAUUCUAAUGCCGUGCCCAACACCCAUAAGGUGUCUUCUAUAACUUUUUAAUCAAUGAUGGAAUGAUUGAUCUACUACAAUCAAUACCAUGGUUAUGUGGAAAGUCAACACAUUGGGAAACAUUAGAUUACAUAAUCAAUAUAUGCUAUUAUUAUGGGAUUGGACUCCUAAAAGCUACCCCCAUUUUCUUUUCUCACUCUAACCAUAUUUUUUUUUUCAUUUAUGUAAAGAAGCCCACAAUUUAAUUUUCUCAAAUGAAGUUAAUUUUGAAUUUUAUUACUAGAUUUUGACAUUUGAAAAUAUUAUUACACAAUGAAUAUAAUAAUAACAUGGACCCGGAGAAAAUUAAGACAACAUGUUAGCUUCUGAUUGACAAUAUUUUUGAAAACGGUUUUUGAGAAUAACUUUUAAUUCACAAAUUAUUAUACUUAUAUACGACACAAAAUAUUUUAAAAUUAUUUUUUAUAACACAAUAAAAAAAAUAAAAAAUUAUAUCUAUAAAGUGAGGUAGAAUGAGAAGACUGAAUGGGAAGGGAAGUGAAUUCAAUUAAAAAACCCAAGAAGAUUCCUUGAGGGUGGGGUCCAAUGUGGAGGCUUUCAUUCAUGUGAAGUUGGCAUGUUGUGGGUGUUCCAGUGAGCUUUGCUCAUUGUCCCCUUCAUUUUAAGCUGUUAUGGUUCUUUCAUCUCCCCCAUUUCAGCCCCCUCACCCAUUAGGCCAUUACUAUAACACACACCAAAAAAAAAAAAAAAAAAAAAAAAAAAAAAAAAAAUCUCAAAAUUGAUGAAAAAGUACUGAAACUAGUUUCUUAAUUGUUAUCAUUGACCCAGAACUGAACCAUUGCUCACAUUUACACCCCAUCAAAUGCAGAAAAAUACAACACUGAUCUCUAUAUUUUAUUCUGUGGAACCACCCCCUUCAGCCCUCCCCCUCUCAGAUUAUUUAUUUAGAAAAUAAUAAAUAAAUUAUAAAAAAAAACAUAUAAUCCCACUAUAGGCUACAACCCAUGUGUUUGUUUUUUUUUCCAUCCUCCUCCCUGAAGUAUAAAUUUUUUUUUUUGAAGUUUUUGCUGCAACCCCAUCUUGCCAGCCGGAAUCUGACCCACUCAUCCUCUCUCCGACAACUUCUGCGAUCUGACCCACUUCCAUUGCCAUUUGCCACAGCUCUCCCAGUCAAGUGCCAAACUCUCUCAUCAACAAAAAUAAGUUAAAAAAAAGAGAAAGAAAUAAAGAAAAAAAAAAGAAAAAAAAAAGGUUUCUCUGUAUUGUCUCACUCAGCCGUGCCCAUCGAAGAUGUUUUGUUUGUUACUAUCUCAUAGCCACCUCCAUCAUCUUCGUCGUCCUCAUCUCCUUCUUGCUCUUCUUCUCCGUCGUCUUCGUCGUCCUCCUGGUUCUGCUCCAUGUUGUUUUCGCUUUCCAUGUCCUCCAUUCCCGAUUCCGAUCUGUUCAUCUCGGGGUGUAGAGGCCAUUGUUGCUCUGGCUGCACCAUUAUGGGGACCAUAGGGUUUUCGGGUUUCAAGAGGGGGUAACUGGGAUUGAAUGAGUUUAUCUCCAUCUUGUUCUUCUCUUUGUACAGCGCUUCAAGCUGGUGGAAAUAUGGACACGUCUUGGAAUCUUCUGGUCUUUUCUUGUUGCUUUCCUUCACUUUCUUGAAGUACUUGUUGAUGUUCUCCCAUUUCUCUUUGCAUCUUUUGGCGUUCCGGUUGUAUCCCAGCUUUCUCAUGCCCGCCGAGAUCUCCUCCCAUAAGGGCCCUUUGGGUCCGUUUUCCUGAUACUUGACAUCCAAGCUGGUUCGGAGCCGAAUCAGGGCUUGGACUUCGGCUUUCGGCCAUCGGGAUGAGCUUGUUGGAACUAAAUUCUCGGCUCCUCCUCCGUUGUCCAUCUUCCUCGGUUCCAAAACCUUCACCAGCUGCAGCUGAGGCUGCGGUGGCGGCGGUUGUGGCGGUCCCGCCUGGGGCUGCGGCAGUGGCGGGGUACUGUCUUGCAGUUGCACCGGGUUUUGCUGCUCGGAUAUUUUCUGCAGGAAUGCAAUGACCGCUGCGUCUUUGGCGGCGGCUAUUGAUCUCUCCUGGACUAAAAGCUCGUGCUCUCUAUUCAUUCUCGCCAUUUCCUGCAUUUUCCAAGCUUCUUCACGGACCAUUCGGUCGUGCUCUCGCUUCUCUAUGGCUUCCAAGAAUCUCUUCUGCAGCUCCUCUUGCCUCUCGAUCACAUCCUUCAUUAGCCUCUGGAAGAAGGCCUUCCACUUCCUCUUUCUCUUACCCCGUCUCUCCAAUUCUUCGUCGGAGGAGGUUGAGGAAGAGGUGGAAUUGGAGAGGAAAUUGGCGGCCAUGGCUGGAUGGGCGGUGGGAACAUUGUUGUGUGGAGGAUGCCGGCUCGUGGGUGGCGUCGGGGAAGGGAUGGUGGGAAUUGUAGGGUUUGCUGUGGAAUUUGUAGGGUUGGGUAAUGUUGAUGGAACAGUGAUUUCAGGGAGAGUGGUUGGAAGGUUAGCCAGCGGCAUUGUGGCGGCAAGCACUGCCGGAGCUGGAGGUUUAGAGUGGGGGAGGGAGGCAAGUGAGGGUUGAGUUUCCAAAGCUUCCAACUGAUCGAAAAACCGAUAAGUUUUGCCGUCGGCCUUGGAGGCUCGGCCUUCUUUGGUUCUCCUGUGGUACUUGAAGACGUUCUCGAAUUUUUCCUUGCAUUUCUUGGCGCUUCGAUGAUAGCCAAGCUCCGCCAGUUUCCUGAUAAUAACAGUUGAAGAACACUCCGUUUUCGUUUCUAUCUCAUCUCAAAUCAACCAAUAAAACAAAAGCUAAAACCAUUGAUACAUAAAAUAUAAUUCAACUGUAUCAAGAAUUCCCACAAGAAAACCUAAGAAAACCAGGGAAAGACGAGGCAGGAGGCCCAGAAAAUCAGAAUAUGCAGACAGCUUUUACAUGGAUGGAAGAACACCACCUCAUGUGAAUUCAUUUUCUGUUGAUUUGGAAUUUACAAGAUGGAUUGGGAACUGAUAAUUGAAGAUGGAAUUAUGGAAACCCAAUUCCCAGGAGAUCAAUUCAGCUUUCUUCCAACUCUGGAAAGAAAUGCUAGAAAAGAAGCCAAAAGCCAGGAAUCCAACACUCACUUGAAGCUGAAUUCCCUCGAGAUGAACAACAAAACACUACCCCUCGAAUCAGAGACACAAAAUUCACUGAAAACUGAUUCACAGAUCUCCACCCAACAACCCAAACAGCUGAAAUUCCCAUCCAACCAAACAAAAAAAACAUAGAAAAAAAAAAAGAGGCAAAAUUCAGUACCUGGAAACCUCUUCCCAUAAUGGGCCUUUGAGACUUGAGUCACGAAAAGUAACAUCCAUAUCAGACCUUAUCUUCAACAAGGCCAACGUCUCCUGUCUCGGCCACCGGUUACCGGCGGAACCCCGGUCACCCUCUUCUCCUCUCCCCCUAUCCUCCUCCCCGUAACCACCUGAAUUUGAUCCACCUCCCCCACCCCCACCACCCCCUCCGCCACCACCUUCAUGCUCUACGGCAGCAGCCGCGCCAUCGCCCGAGCUUCCCAACAGGCCUGAGACCCCCAGCAUAGGACUCCUUUAGCCCAAUUACAGCUGAAAAAAAAAAUAUACACCAACAACAACAAAAGAUGGUGAAUUCUGAGGGUUUUAUGAGGAUGUUUGUAUGGUGAAUUUAUUAAUUUAUUUCGGUGGGAUCUGCCUGUCAAUCUCAAAAAUAAAAAAAUAAAAAAUAAAAAAUAAAAAUAAAAAUAAAAAUAAAUAAACCAUCAACCCCUCAAAAAAAAUUCUUCUCUUUUAGCUGUGGAAUCUUGAGUAGUACUUUUUCAACAACAAUAAGCGUCACUUGGGCUGUCACAGUAAUAAUAAAAAUAGCAUAAGAAAAAAAUAAAAUAAUUUUUUUUUUUUAAAAUGUAGUAAUUGGAAAUCGAAGAUGAGCAAGAACAGCUGCAGAUAGCGACGAUGGUGAUAAUAAGUUGGUUUUUGUCUGUCCAGCUAAAUAUAGUUAAAGGCCGGCCCAUGUAGGUCAGCUUUGCUUUUGGGUGCGUUUUGGAUUUCUGUGGCCGUUGCCUUGCCUGCGAAUUUACUCUUCCACCCCUGCCACUAUUUUUGUUAGAUUGGCUUAAUUAUUAUAUCAGAUUCUUCAUUUUUUGUGUGCCCAAAAUACCCAUGGUAUAAAAAUAAAUAUUAAUGAGAUUGAUUUUGGUUUUGGGUUUUUGCUGCAACUUGCUGGUGAAAUGUGGUGGUGGCACCGCCACGACGGGCCAGACGGGCCUACGGGGAUGGCUCAUGGAUGGCGACGAUUGGUUUGCUAGUUUGACAAGGUUAUCAUAAUUGUGAAAGAAAAUUCGCCGUAAAAUGACCGUAGAAAGUGUGGGAUCCAUGCCCCCCUUUCUCCAAUUAAACCCUGUUGGAUGAAGGUCAUGUUAUUAGGCAAAGCUAUUUAUGAAUUGAAAUAAAUAGUGUCCAAUAUAGUUAGGUUGUGACCUACCCUCAUAAAUGUUAUUCAUAUUUCCAUGGCUAUGAUCUUAUUUCCGGCCAUAAAAAAUUUGGGCUCUGGGGACCAUUCGCCGUGGUGGCUUCUUGGGUUAUCGUGUGCCUCUCAAAUUUUGUUGAUUUUAUUUUCAACACCUCCAUAUGCCAAAUGUAACAUUUAUUUUGUUAAGUUCAAUUGAUAUAACUUUUAUUGUAACGAUUCAUAUCAAACCACGUAGAUAUUGUCUAUACAUUUAUUUUAUCGAGUCUGAUUGAUAUGACUUUUAUUAUAAUGAUCGAUUCUUAUUAUAAUAACUCGUAUCCAAUCAUGUAAAUAUUAUUUUUCGAUUUUAAAAUGUGUUUAUAAGGUUAAAAGAAAUUUACAAUUGUAUAAACCCCCUUGUAGACGCCUUUUCAUAGGGUUAAACAAACUUUCAUACCCUUCAUAUAGACACUCCUUCAUGAGAUGAAACAAACCUCCAUGUCGGGUUUGGGGAUAAGCUCUAAUACCAUAAUCCAUAACUUUAAUACCAUUUGUAAUAGUUGACUUUAACAUCAUUUUUCUCAAUUCUGAUAUCAUUUGUAAUGGUUUGCAUCCGAUCGUCAUCUAAUUAUAUAGAUAUUAUUCGUUGUUAAUUUAAAGGGUUUUUACGAUUCUAAAACGCGUAUUUACAAUAUUAAAACGAGUCCAUACAUAUAUAGUGAUAAAAACUUUUUUUCUAUAUAUGAUAUAAGAAAUUAUACUUAUCAUUGAACCAAAGUUAGUCGGUUGCCAUCUUUUAUUUGAAAUUUUUAAUAGUUUUUGAUAAAGAAAAAAGAAAAAGAAACAUAUGGUAGUUACUUGCAAUAUUUAUAUAUAUGAUAACCUUGAGGUAGAGGGAGGUAUCUUAGGUCAAACGCAAAGUGUGGGGAAGGAGACUAAGGAGACUAGGGAGAUGGAUAAGAGCUUCAGCCAUUAAAAAAAAAAAAGAAAAGAAAAGAAGGGAGAAAUGAACUCAAUUAUUGACAAUAAAAAAUUAGUAACACAUGGGGACCCAUCAAUCAAUAAGACAUUAAAUGCACAAAUCAUCCAAAAUUAACUUUAUUAUAUAUAUAUAUAUAUAUAUAUAUAUAUAUAUAUAUAUAUAUAUAUAUAUAUGAAAGUAUUGCAUCAUUAGGUGGGGAAAACUAAAAAUAAAAAAACAAGAGAACAUGAAGAAUCAUGCAGGCACAAGGGUGUUUUGGUAAAGGAAGAAGAAGAGAAGAAAAAGGGGGAGUGGAAUUUGCCAAGAAAAGAAAAAGGGUAUGUUGGGAAUAUUAGGAAUGAGGGAAGAAGGGGAGAGGGGGAGAGAGAGGUAAUAUGUAAGUUAGGCAACCAUCAAAGGGGCAUAAGUUUUUUAAUUUUUAAUUUUAAUUUUUUUUAAUUUUUUAUUAUGAAGAGGUGAAUGGUACGUAAUUGAUGAUGAUAAGACUAGUCACAUUUUGUAUAUGUUAUUUUGCUUGUCAUACAAAGAACUAAGAAAUUAAAAAAAAAAUUAGAAAAAAAAAAAAAAACAAAAGUAAGAAUAGAAUUGGUUUUAUGUCUACAAAAAUGUGUGUGCUUCGCUGGAGAGAUAGAUGCCUUGCCACUAUGCCCACCACCACUCAUGGGUAGAACCGUAGAACUCUCUCUCUCUCUCUCUCUCUCUCUCUCUCUCUCUCUCUCUCUCUCUCUCUCUCUCUCUCUCUCUCUCUCUCUCUCUCUCUCUCUCUCUCUCUCUCUCUCUCUCUCUCUUAAAUAUGAGUUUUGAUCCGGUGGCCUGCGGUACAGGGCAAGUCAUUACCCCCAUUAUUGGGUCGUAAAUUUGUAAUUAGUGGCAGUGAUGAUAAUUUUUUUUUUUUUGGGUACCCCUUCACCAAUAUUAAAAAAAAAUGAAUUUAGCAUUUUAAACAUGAUAAGCAUUUAGCAAUUUAUCAUUUAUUUUCAAUUAUUAAUUGCAAUAUUAAUUUUUUUGGGGUCAUUUUUAUCACUUUCUCACUUGGAAAAAUGAUGAUGGGAUUUUAAUUUUUCUAAAUAAUUGAUAAUUAUUAAUUGCUUUUUAUUACAUGCAAGUCCUCGUUUAUUAAAAGAAAUAAUGAUAAGAUAAAAGUUAUUUCAUAAAAUUAGAACAAUUAUAUGGAUGAAAUCCAAUAAUAAUAAGAAUUAUUACGUAUAAUUAGUAAAAAACACAAAUUUAAACCUAAGAUUUUUUAAUAUAAAAAUAAAAAAUAAUAGUAAGUACUUGUUUAGAAACUAUUUUUAAGAAUAAUUUUUUAUAUUAAAAAAAAAACACAGAAUAGAAAACACGAUAAAUAAAAACUAUUUUCUAUUUUAUAUUCUUAAAAAUAAAAAAUAGAAUGUUUCGAGAGAGACCAUUUUUUAGUUGUUUUAUAUCGUUUUCAUUUUUUUAAGGAUUGUUUUAAUAAAUAAUUAUAUAAAUAUAUAGAAUGAUUAAAAAUAAAAUAUUAGAUUUAAAAACAUUAAAAACAAGUUCAAAAUAUUUUACUUUCUAAACAGACUUUUGCUCUAUACAUAUAAAAAAAAAAUUUUUAAAACUAUUUUUCAAAAUUGUUUUCGAAAAUAAUUAUCAAAUAUUCCAUAACUCUUAUAUAAAAUAAAAUAACUCUUUAAAGUUAUGAAAACUUAAAAUAUUAAAAAAAUUUACUUUGUUAAAUUUAAAAAAUAAAUUUUAAUAUGAUUCAUCGAAUACUUUUAAUAUAAGAAUUAUUAUAUUUUAUAUAGAAGGAAAUAUGUCUAGACUAACACUUAAAUAAUUAAAUAUUAAACCGCUUCCAAAUCAUUAUCGAGAUCAGUAUUGUCAAUUUUCUAAUAAUUAAGACUUAUUACAUACUUAAAACAAAAAUAAAAAAAUAAAAAAAUAAAAAAAUCAAAGGGUGGGGGAAAGAGAUUUACUAGGUGUGGAAGAAAGUGAUCGCAUAUGCCAAGCCACUUGUGAAUGAAAUGUGAAUAUUUUCUAUUCACCUUGUCAUAUGAUAUAAGUCAUAACCACCAUCAAAUCAUGCAGAUUCCCUUUAUCAAAAAGGAUACGAGCAGAGUGCAGAUUCCACUCCAAAGAAAAAUGUGGUGAUAUAUGGGCUUCAUCAUUGUCCCAUGAUGCAUUUACAAAAAAUAAUCAAACUUCUUUAAUGAUUCUUCCAAUUAGAUCCAAAUGAUGGAAUUUUUUCUUUCAUCUUUGUGUUUGAUUACAAAAUUCAUAGAUUUAGAAAAAUGGUUUUGAUUGAUUUUAGGGAUUUCAAGUCAACAAUUUGUUUUGAAAUUAAUAAUUAAAAUUUUCAAAUUUUAUUUCCUUUUAUAGCAUGGACUUAAUUUAGAGGUUCUCAUUUGUAUUUAUUUUGAUAAAGUAAUUGUCUAGACAUCUUUGAAUUUUAGGAAAAAUAUUUGAUGCGUAUUCCAUUUCUUUUGAUUGAUAGUAGAUUUAUUCAUUAGAAUUCAUAUCGUUAUUUUGUUUUUGUUUUUGUUGUUCUUUUUUCGGGUUCUGAUACACUUCCUAUAAAGAAAUAAAGUAUAAGGAUUUAUUUUAUAACUGUUUUCGAAAACAGUUUUCUAUUCUUUAAAAUAAAAAGAAAAAAAAACACGUUUGACAACAAAUAAUUAUUUUCUGUUUUUAGAUAAUAUUUUUUAAUUAUUCUAUAUCAUUUUCAUUUAUUUUAUGAAGGUUGUUUUAAAAAAUAAUUACAUAAACAUGUAAAAUAAUUAAAAUAUAUUAAAAACAUAUUAAAAACAUUUUACGUUUUCAAAUAAACUUUUGUUUUACAAAAAUUAGAAAACAGUAUUUAAAAACUGUUUUUCAAAAUUGUUUUUGAAAAUGAUUACCAAACGGGCCGUAAAAAAUUUCUAUAUUAUAAAAUAAUUAUUUUACUUAUUAUUGAAAAAGAAAAAAAAAGGGUGAAGAGCUAUUAUUAUUAUUCAUCUUCUAGUGUAUACCCAUUGUGCCAAAAAUAAAUUUAGGGGAUGUAAUAAACUAAUAAAUUAAUGUCAAAGGGGAGAAGGGACAAAAGUUUCUAAAAAUAGGAAAAGAGAGAGGGAUUAAGAAAAUGGUUAGAUGGAAAAGGGAAAAACACAUGGGCACACUAAAGAGUGAAGGGAUGAUGAUGAUGAUGAUUGAUGAUGAUGAUGAUGCAUGCAUGCAUGGUGAUUAAGGUUAUAAUGUUAUGACAAGUAUUUGUUGAAAAAAGUUAUAAGUAGACAAAAGGUUUACUCAACAUGGCUGCCAUGUGAAUCUACACUUACAUCAUGUGUCUUCCAUGUGGUUUAAUCCCUUUCUUUAUCUCGCACUUGCUGACCAACUCAUCCCCCUCCCUUCUUUUUCCCCACCUUUCUUUUUUUCUUGAAUAUUUAUUUUUUAUUUUUUAUUUUCUUUGGCUUUUUGUUUUUUAAUCAGAUUAGUAGAGGAUUAGGAGAUGAUAGGCAACUUUAUUGUCUCAACAUCUUGAUAAUUGGAGAUUACGUUCUUCUUUCUACUUUCUCCUCUUUUGCUUUUCCUUUUGUAUAUAUAUAUAUAUAUAUAUAUUUUGUUCAAAUACUUAAUGAGUUACGUCACGUUUUAAAUAAUUUUUUAUUUUUCACUUUAAUUGAUGAGUUUAAAAAAAUAACAUUAAUAUUAUAAAAGUUUUAAUGAAAAUAUUACUCAAAUUUACUAUGUAGGUAUUUUCACUAUGAAUCUUUUAGUUUUUCAAAACUUUAAAAAGCGUCCAUAAAAUUAUUAAUAUAUAUAGAAUUAGAAAUUUUCACCUUUAUUUAAUAUGAGAUAUUACAAUCAUCUCCCAUUUAAACAUCUUUGUUGUCUUCCAUGGAUUGCGAGGCCAAACUCAACCAUUUAGGACAUCAAGGUCGGGACCAAACUCAACCAUAUGGGAUGUUGGGGCCAAAUUUAAUUAUAUGGGACAUCAAGAUCGAGAUUAGUUCUGAUACAAUUUGUAAUAACCUAUACUUAAUUAUGUGAUUAUUGUCCACUCUAUAUAUAAAUGGACCCUUAUGAUUUUAAAACGCAUUUACGAGAUUAAAAAUGAUAUAUAUAUAUAUAAUGUUAGAAAUUUUAUUCCUUAUUUGAUGUGAAACGUUAUAGAAAUAGCUAAAAAAUAAGUACAAAUUUUUUAUUCAACCUUAGAAAAAUCGUUUUUGCCUCCUCGAAAGCACUUGCAUCAUAAAAAUUAAAUAUUUGAUAAAAUUUUAAAAAUCAUCUUUAAAAAUCUAAAAAUUAUUAAAAGUAACCGUUUGAAUUAUCGUUGCGACCAUGUUUCUUAAAAAAAGAAAAUAUUAAGAUAUUUAUUUGAAUUAUAUCCAAAAAAUAAUUUACUCAUUGUAAAAUUAUUUUCGACAAAAGCACUUCAUGUUAAAAACAUUUUAACGGCAUCACUCCCAAAUCGGGUGAGAAAAUUUGUUAUAGAAGUUAAUCGAAUCAAUGAUUGAAUUACUCUUAAAUUCAACAACAACGAUCAUAGAUAGGGGGAUGGGGGAUCAAUUGAAUUGAUUUUUGGUGCAGAUGAAAGUCUUGAAAGUGACCCAUCAACAAGGUUUAAAAUAAGCUUAAAUUGAACCCGUACGCUUUGAUUAUUCAUUACAAUAAUUAUUAUUAUUACUACUUUUGCUUAUAGCUGUAAUGUUUUUAUCUCUAAACUAAUCCCAAUGACAGACACUGACAGUAGGAGGAAGCAAUUUAAUAAUCAUCAAAAUGAUUAAAAUCCCCAUUAUUAUAUUUAAUUAAUUUAAUUUAAAUUUUUCAAGGCACCAGCCGUUAUUCUCUCCCCACAUUCUAGUCUAUAACGUCUCACCAUGUUCUCCAUGACUUUCCUUAAAUGUCCUUGCAUUCAUGGAUUCCUAAUUAAAAUUAUGAGGUUAAAAUGGUAAAACUUGGAGGAGCGUAAGCCACAAGUUGUCAUAGCCAUGUGCCCAGAUCCCAUGAUUAUCAUUACGGAUCUCACCUGGGGGCUGCCUUGGUAAAAUGCAUCUCAGAUGCUUCUUUGAAAUUGAAAAUUCCAAAGCAUGUGAUCCCCCUUUCUCAAACGUUUUUAUUCAUUAAUUUUAUUAAAAUAAUUUAUUAGAUUAUAUUGCUUUUUGUAAAAGUUUUUGUUAUCGUAUGUGAUUACCAAGGAGAUAAUCGGAGAUUUUAAAAUGGGACAAUUUUAAAAAUAUUUUCAAGAGGAAUCAAAGCAACAAAUUGUUUCAGUAUUUAAAAUCAAAUUAAUUUUUAAAAAAAUAUUUUUUUAUUGAUUUGCUACAACUUUCCCAUCAUUCCUCAAAAUCCGCUAUUUUGAAAAAAAUAAGGUAAAGACUUUUUUCUUGUUACCUUGAAGGUUACUAUUUCGAAAGGAAUGGAGUAUGAACUUCGUUCUUUGACUGAUAGACUUGAUUAUCCCUAAAUAGUCAUUCCCUUAUGGAGCCACUGUUGGGAAAUAGUUUUUGAACUAUUUGUAUGUCGGCUUUUUUUUUUUAUUUUUUUUAUUUAAAGUAAUUUAUUAUUUUUUUCAGAAACCCUACCUGAACCAUGACAACCCAAAGGGGGCAAGUGUACAAGGGGCUGUCACUAUUGAUGGGGAGGGGGGUCAUAGUGGCCCAAAGAAGCACUCAAAAGCCCAAAUUGAACAGUGUCCAAGAAGAGGGUGGAGGCCCCCAUGUGCCACAAAUGACAACCUACAAUGGUGGGUGGGAGAGAGAGAGAGAGAAAGAGAAGGAAAAAAAAGAGAGUAGUAAC